AGUUCUGAAAUGAGGAUGCUUUGGAUAUAAUCAUAUCCAAAUUCUUUCAUCUUGGCUCAGUGAGCUCUGAAAUGAGGAUGGUUCGGAUAGAUUGGAUGACCGAUUCGUAUACACUCACACACUCAAGCGGGAAGUGAGAUCAAGGAAGGUGUUUUCACUGCAGGGGAUUGUGAUACCUCCCAUGGGAUGAUCAUAUCCGAAUUCUUCUUCAGCUUGACUCAGCAAAUCCAGGAAUAAAGGCUCAUUCAAAUAUGAUAUCGGAAUCACAAACCGCUUCUUCUGGCUCUCCCCAACAUAGACUGCAAGGUAGCCUUUUGGGAUAUCUAAAGUCUUUGAAUCUGCUGUCUGGCUUGAACUAGAUAGAGAUCGAAUGAGACUUCUCUUUGCAUUAACAAUUGCAGGCAACCGGAAACCCAUGAUCUUAUAUAUUCUCAAAGGACAAAAGAAGAGAGGGAAUUCAAAGGACUUGGAUUUGGAAAGCAGAGAAAGCUUUGGUGCUUGAGAAGGUGAAGACUUGAGUUGCUCAUGAUGAACUUGGUCAUGUGUAUAUAUAGAUCAAGGGUAUCCAGAAAAUCAACAGCUACAUGAAAUUAUUGGUCUGAGAUGGGCUCCAAUGAGGGACACUUGAUUGUGAGAAAUCACAUGGGCUUGUCGUCCUUCUCACGCAACACAUCCUCGAAAGAUUUCUCACGGAACUCUUCCCUACCUCCUCUAGGUAACAGACAACAAAAGGACCACUAGAGGUGAUUCAAUCCAAAAGACUUAUGUCUGUUAGGUAAGUAGCAUUUAUGCUUGAGACAUGCACUUCUCUUUGUUCACACUAAAUCAACUGACCACAUAAUUGGACUAUUAAACUACAAAGUUUCUUGAAUAGGUCUGCUAAUGAAUUGCCCUCUCACUUCAUCAAAAGACCAACAACACUGCAUAUGUUGUGGUCCUACCCAACACUAAUACAAUUGUGUUGUGUGGUGCUAAAUAGCUUGCUUGGGAGCAGCAAGGCACCCUACAUGUGGCUUUGUAGUUACGACUCUGAUCUUCAGUCUCAGCAAACAAAGGAGGUAUUUAUUUCAUUUUGUUAGGCCAAUCUGGACUUAACCAGAAAACACUAUUGAUUUAAAUAGUUGACAUUACUUGAUCAAGAAAACUGAAGUUAAUAAAUUGAACUUAAGCUACUCGGUCUAAACUCAAUUUUUAAAAAACCAUUUUCCAUUACAACUCUUGGUUUAACAAAACCAUUGCCAGUCUUGUUUUAGGCAAGUUCGGCGAAAAGCCUACUAGAGAAAUCUAGAAAAUUCUAGAGAGAAGGAGAAGCUAGGUUGAUAAUCUCUUCUUGCCUUUGCUUAUGGCAACAACUGAAGAAGCCAUGUAAACUUGGCUUGCACUCUCUAGCAUAGGGAAAGUCGUGCAUAUAUAUUGUGCCAUUUUUUUAUGAAAGAAACUUAGUUGUUCGGCUCAGUGUCUCUCUAUAUUAACUCAUGAUGACUCUCCUCCUUAUUAUUCUUUCAGUCCAUUGAGAGAUGUUAAGCAUACUGUGCUUAAUAUAUUAUUAAAUUAUCAGAUACAGUCAUUUUGGCCCCAUGGAUAAAGGAAGUACAAAGUAAACCAUUAUACUUUCAUUUUCUGAAAAAUAUGCUGUCAUUGAUGAUUUUAUUUUAUGACAGAGCUACAAGUACAAUGAAAAAUAAGACAAGAAAGUGGAUCAGGAUUUAAAUUUGCAUUCCAAUAUAUUUUCCUGGAGAGUAACAAAGGUUACACAUCAGAAGAUCAUAGCAUCCAACCCAAAUGUGGAGAGGCCCAAGAUCUUUUAUACUACAAUGCACGUCUUUAAGUUCCGUAUGUACUCUCAAGAACAAUAGUUCAAAAUUUCAAUCAUGAUUUUGGACUAAAGUUUUUCAACGUCCAUAGUAUCUUCGUUUGUCGGAUUCAUGAACUUUUUAACUUUAUGCUCAGAUCACAAGCAGCUUCAGGCUUACAGAUUGCUUCCUCUCAGCACAAGAUGUAAGUCGACUCAGUGGACGAUCAAGAAUAGCCUCUUUCUCAUCAUUACUCAGUGAGUUCUGGAAUGAGGAUGCUUAUACAUGAAUGAAUUUGGAUCAUAGUUUCUUUUCUUUGGUGUGCACUCAUACACUUAAGCGGGAAGUGAGAUGAAGGAAGGUGUCUUCACUGCAGGGGAUUGUGAUACCACCCAUGGGAUGAUCCUAUCCAAAUUCUUCUUCAGCUUGACUCAGCAAAUCCCGGAACAAAGGCUCAUUCAAAUAUGAUAUUGGAAUCAAAAACCGUUUCUUUUGGCUCUUCCCAACAUCGACUGCAAAAUAGCCUUUUGGGAUAUCUAAGGUCUUUGAAUCAUCUGUCUGACUUGAACUAGAUAGAGAUCGAAUGAGACUUCUCUUGGCGUUAACAAUUCCAGGCAACCGGAAACCCAUGAUUUAGUAUUCUCAAGAGGACAAGACAAGAGGAAAAAGAUUGGCAAGGAAUUGGAAAAAACAGAGAGAGCUUUGAUGCGUGGGAAGGAUAGGACUUGAGUAGCUCAUGAUGAACCGAUCAUAGUAUAUAUAUAGCUGAAAGGUAUGCAAAAAAAUCAUCAGGUACAUGGAAUGAUUUGUACCGAAAAGGAACUGAGAGGAGAAGCAAUGAGGACCACUAGCUGUACGAUAGUCAAAGUUUACACUAGCUGUUAUCAUUCUGAGUUUAUCUCUUUCUCAGAUUAGGAAGAGGUACUCUUCUAGAGCAUUUAGCUAGAGAGAAUGAAUAGGAGAAUAUGAAAAAUGCACUGUUCUAUUGAUUUCUGCAAAACUGCAGCUUACAAAGUGUGACUGCUAGGAGAGAAAUGUGAUUCUCUUCUAACAGAAUUACAGCUGUCAUCCUAUUAGAUUCUUACACCUGUCAUAGCAAAUCUAAGCUAGAGAAUCCACCUAGACUAUGAUCUAAUGGCUCUCCUUACAUCAUUUAAAUAAGCUGACCAAAAACAGAACAAAUAGAGAAUAGCUUCAGCUCUAAGAAAUCUGCUGCAGGAUUAUAUUUCAACACUCCCUUCUAAUCCUUUAGCUGAUUUCACACCAAGCAAGCUUCUCAGCCUCACAAACCGAUCCUUAGGUAGAGCUUUAGUCAAGAUGUCUGCUAUCUGAUCUUCUGUUUUGCAGUAUAUCAGUUCAAUUUCUUUUGCUUGAAUGGCUUCUCUGAUAAAAUGAAAUUUCCUGCUGAUGUGUCUUGUCUUUUGGUGAUGGACUGGAUUCCUUGCCAUUGCAAUUGCUGAGGUGUUAUCACAUAGAAUCUGAGUCCCUUCUAUCUGUUCUUCACCAAAAUCUUCAAGCACAAAUCUCAGCCACUUAGCUUGUGAAGUUGCUUCUGCAGCACUCACAUAUUCAGCUUCGGCUGUAGAUAGAGCAACUGUGUUUUGCUUGAUGGAAGCCCAAGAGAACAUGCCUGAGCCUAGUGUGAAGGCAUAUCCUGAGGUGCUCCUCAUAUCAUCUUACUCCCAGCCCAGUCACUGUCACAGUACCCAAUUAGAGUAGCUGUCUUCCCUUUUGCAAACUCAAUUCCAAAAUCCAAUGUGCCUUGAAUGUAUCUCAGCACCCUUUUAGCAGUUCCCAUGUGUUUCUUUGAGGGAUUGUGCAUAAAUCUAGCAAGCAAGCUAGAUGCAAACAUGACAUCUGGUCUUGUGGCAGUCAGAUAAAGGAGACUUCCUACAAUCUGUCUGAAUUCACUUUCAUCUGCUGCUUCACUCCCAUCUUCUCUACACAAUUUCUCAUUCACCACUAAUGGAAUUGCCACUGACUUGCAAUCUCUCAUUCCAAACUUCUCAAGAAUUUUCAUGGCAUAUUUCUUUUGAUGAAUGAAAAUAUGCUUGUCAGUUUGUUCCACUCCCAUGCCAAGAAAAUGAUGCAACAGACCCAAGUCUGUCAUCUCAUAGUGUUGCAUCAUAUCUUGUUUAAAUUCUUCAAGCAUUUUAGGACAGCUUCCAGUGUAUAUAAUGUCAUCUACAUAGAGGGAGACAAUGAUAAUACCUGAGGUGUCACUAGUUUUGAUAUAGAGAGUAGCUUCACUUAAGCUUUUCUUGAAACCUGCAGUGUUGAAAUAGGCAUCUAUUUCAUCAUACCAGGCCCUUGGGGCUUGCUUCAGUCCAUAUAGAGCCUUGUUCAACCUGAACACCUUGGUUUCCUUGCUCUCUUGAACAUAUCCUUGAGGUUGUUCAACAUAAACUUCCUCCUUUAGAAUGCCAUUGAGAAAAGCAGACUUCACAUCCAAUUGAAAUAAGUUCCAUUCCUUUUGUGCUGCAAGGGCUAUCAAAGUUCUGAUGGUGUCAAGUCUUGCCACGGGGGCAAAUGUCUCAUUAUAGUCGAUUCCAGGCUUCUGUGAGUAGCCUUUAGCCGCAAGCCUAGCUUUAUUCUUCUGCACAGUACCAUCUAGGUUCAGUUUGACCUUGUAGACCCACUUAACACCAAUUACUGGUUUGUUAGAUGGCCUGUCAACUAAUUUCCAAGUAUUGUUCUUCUCAAUCAUCUCCAAUUCAGCCUCCAUUGCACAUCUCCAUGAUUCAUCCAAAUCUGCUUCUUCAAAGCUGUCAGGUUCUACAAUGCACAUAUUGCAUUGUGCCAUGAUGUCAUUAAUACUCCUCCACUUGUGAGGUGUGUGAUCAAACCUUUGAGUCUCAUCAAGCAUUUCUUCCCCUUGAGGUGCAAUUUCUUCUUCCAUCUACAUUUGAGUAUCCAAGAACUGAGAGUGAUCAUCUAAUACCCUCUGUUCAGUUUCUGCAGUAUCUUGAUUUCCAUCUGGCAUAGGUAUUCCCACAUCUGCAUUGCUAGGAUUCUCCCAUUUCCAUGAGGCUUCUUCAUCAAAAUAGACAUCCCUAGACAAGAUAAUCUUUCUUGUCUUAGGAUCAUACAGUCUAUAGCCUUUUUCACACAAUCCAUAGCCCACAAAAAUGCAUUUGUGACUGUUUUCUUCCAACUUGUGUCUCAAAACAGAAGGAAUAAGCACAUAACAUAGGCAUCCAAACACUUUCAAGUGUGCAAUACCUGGCUUUCUUCCUGUGUAGGCCUCAAAUGGUGUCAUUUUCUCAAGAGAUUUAGAAGGACAUCUGUUGAGAAGGUAGACUGCUGUAUGAACAGCUUCUGCCCAAAACUCAUAAGGAAGAUUCUUUUCAUGUAGCAUAGACUUUGCCAUCUCAAUUACUGUCCUGUUCUUCCUCUCAGCAACUCCAUUUUGCUGAGGAGAAUAUGCCACUGUCAGCUGCCUUUGUAUUCCAGCCUCACUGCAGUAUGCAAGGAAUUCAUUUGACAUGAAUUCUCCACCUCUAUCACUUCUAAGUGACUUCACUUUGUGUCCACUCUGCAAUUCUGUCAUUGCUUUGAACUUCUUGAAACAUUCAAAAGCAUUAGAUUUAUUUCUGAGAAAAUAAACCCAAGCCAUUCUUGUAUGGUCAUCAAUGAAUAAUAGGAAAUAUCUGUUUUCUGACAUUGAUGCAGUCUGCAUUGGACCACAGAUGUCAGUGUGAACUAAUUCUAGUGGAGACUGAGCUCUCCAAGUAGAUUUUGCAGGAAAUGAGUCUCUAUGCUGCUUUCCCAACUUGCAGCCUUCACACACUGCUAAGUCCUUCUCCAGACUAGGCAGUCCAUGAACCAUGUCUUGAUUUGCUAGCAUCUUGAUGCUUUGAUCAUUAAGAUGACCCAGCCUUUUAUGCCAAGUCUGCAAACUGUGAGUCACACUUGCUCUCAGCACCAACUGAGUAGCAGGUACCAUUGUGAGAGAGAAACUGUCACACCCCGGACCGGCUCCGCCGUAGCACGAUAUUGUCCGCUUUGGGCCCCCCUCUCUGCCCUCACGGUUUUGUUUUUGGGAGCUCACGAAGCAACUUCCCAGGGUGGUCACCCAUCCUGGGAUUGCUCCAGCCUCCCACUCGCUUAACUUUGGAGUUCUUACAACUCUGAAGCCAGUGAGCUCCCAAAAGGCCUCGUGCUACGGCGGAGCCGGUCCGGGGUGUGACAAUUUGGUAUCAGAGCCACUCUGCCGUGUGGUGCGAGUGUGCCGACGAGGACGUCGGGCCCUUAAGGGGGGUGGAUUGUAAGAUCCCACAUCAAACCAACGGAGAGGGGGGUGAUGUGCCUUAUAUGGCACACCCGCAUCCAUCUAGCACGAGGCCUUUUGGGAGCUCACUGGCUUCGGAGUGGUAGGAACUCCGAAGUUAAGCGAGUUGGAGGCUAGAGCAAUCCUAGGAUGGGUGACCCACUGGGAAGUUGCUCGUGAGUUCCCAGAAACAAAACCGUGAGGGCCAGAGAGGGGGGGCCCAAAGCGGACAAUAUCGUGCUACGGCGGAGCCGAUCUCGGGAUGUGACAGAAACACCUAUUGCUAGUCAUUGGAACCUUAGCUAUAGGGUUUUGCAGUGACCAAUCAUCAAAAAUUGUCACCAUUCCCUUUCCAAAUACUAAACAAUACCCAUGUUCCAUCAUCUGACCAACACUUAGCAAGUUCUCUUCUAAACCAGGCACCAACAUCACUUCUUGAAUGUGUUUUCUGCCUGAUUUGGUUUCUAUCACAAGAGUACCUUUUCCUGCAACUUGAACUGUCUCUCCAGUCCCCAUUUUCACCUUGGAAGUUACAUUCCUUCGAAUGUCUAUCAGUAGCCUUUCAUCUCCAAUCAUAUGGUUGCUACAGCCACUGUCCACAUACCAAGAGUUGCUCAUUUUCACAUCUGUCACAGCAUUGCAUGCAUAAAACAAUGUUCCAGUUUCUUCAACCUGAUUGGCAUAGUUCACCUUUUGCACAGAUUGAUUGUCAUGACAAUUUCUAACCAUGUGACCAAACUUUCCACAUCCUCUGCAUUUUGGUUUUCCUUCAAACCAGCACUUGCCAUAGUGCAGUUUUUCACAGUGCUUGCAGGGUGUUUUAGUUCCAUCAUUUGAUGCAUUUGGUUUGGUAUUUGAAUUGGACUUGUUAUUCCAAUUCUUCCUAUUUUCCUUCCAGUUCUUCUGAGACUUGUUACAUCCAGAAGAACUUCCAUUCUUAGAGCUUUUACUCUCAAUGUUCAGACUAGUGAAAGCCUUUUCUGUUGAAUUUUCAUUGUGCCUGUCUAAUCUGAGCUCAAAGUUCUUGAGAGAUGCAACCACUUCUUGAAUUUCAAGAGUGUCAAGAUCCUUUGAAUGCUCAAUCACAGAACAUAUAGAAUCAUAAGAUCUAGGCAAACUAAUAAGCAAUUUCUGCACAACUCUUUCUCUAGGUAACUCUUCACCAUAAUUCUUCAUUUGAUUUAUCAGAUCAAACAGUUUAGCAGCAUAAACAGAAAAUGAUUCACUAUCCUUCAUACGAGUGUAUUCAAACUCUCUACGUAAGCCUUGUAGUUUCACACUUCUUACCUGUUUAUCACCUCUAAACUCCUGCUUCAGGAUAUCCCAUGCACCUUUUGAGGUUUCUUCAUUCACUAUUCUGGGAAAAAUUUGGUCUGAGACUGCACCUUGGAUCAGUCCAAGUGCACGAGCAUCUUUCAUCAAGGUCUCAGCUGAUACAGAUUUCUCUUCUUCAGCAGCUUUAGAUCCCUCUUCCUUUCCUUCUUCCUUCGUUGGAUCUGAAGCAUCAAAGCCAUUUUCAACUAAAUCCCACAGUCCAUGAGAUUUCAGAAUGGUCUUCAAUCGAAUGCUCCAAAACUUAUAGUUUUCUCCAUUGAAUACUGGUGUACGAAGCUCAGAAGAGCUUGAUCCUGCCAUAUUAGACAUCAGACGCAGCUAGACAAGCUUCGUGAAGUUUUGAGUGAGCUCAAUCGUCAGCUCAGCCAAGCACCAGCUCCUUCUUCACAGAUUCACGCCCAAUAAACAAUCAAAACCUGGCUCUGAGGCCAUGUUAUCAUUCUGAGUUUAUCUCUUUCUCAGAUUAGGAAGAGGUACUCUUCUAGAGCAUUUAGCUAGAGAGAAUGAAUAGGAGAAUAUGAAAAAUGCACUGUUCUAUUGAUUUCUGCAAAACUGCAGCUUACAAAGUGUGACUGCUAGCACUACUACAAAAAGUGAAAAAGACGACCAGAAAACAACGACGGUCUAAGUGAAAACCGUCGUGGUUUUUAAAAAGACGACGGUUCUAAAAACACCGUCGUGUAAUACAACCUUAGACAACUAAAAAAUGGAGAUUCAAAUGGCUGUUCAAAAACAACGACGUACAUAAUUAAACAACCGACGUCUAUUUGAAACAGAUUUCCGCAGUGUAAAAUCAAUGCCAACAAAGAACAGCAGAAGUUAUGAAUCGACCGACGUAGAAAGUAAAGACGACGAUUUCAAUAAAAACCGCCAUUUUUACUCAUAAAAUAACACGACGAGGUUUUCGUAUAAGACGCCGUAUAAUUACAAACAAAUCCAUGGCUUUAAAAUACAAAAUAUCGCCGUAUUAAAUUAAUGUACAACGACGGAAAAUAUAAAUAUAUGGACGUCAUUCUCGUAUAGUUCUACGACGUUAUCUUUAAAUCGUACAAUAAAAUUUAACAUCGUAUUUAUUCAUUUUAUACGUCGUACAUGUCGUCUUAAUAAGAAUUUUUGUUAACAAUUUUUUUCUUUGAUUUUCUUAUCCUACGUCGGUAGAUCUACUUAAUGACAAGAAUUGAAAUAACCACGACGGUUUAUAUAGAAAACCGCCAACAUAAUCAGAUUUGUCUGAGAUCCCAAGGGUUACGAAAUCUUACCAGAUGGAACUCUGUUCCACAUCAUAAUCUUAACAGAUGACACUGAUUUGCAUUCAGAGAGACAAUUUUUUGGAAGUUGAUGAUGUGUGUGCGUUUGUGUAUCUACAAAUAUUAUACCUAACGUCGUUGCAAAUUUGCAAUCAGAGAGACAAUUUUCAACGACGGUUAUAUUAUACCUAACGACGUUUAAAAAACAAAUCAACGUCGCUAAACAAAUAUAUUAUGUCGUCUUAGUCUUACUUAAGACGACGAAAAACGACGACAGUAAUAAAAAACAGUCGUUGUUUUUAUAUUCUUAUUUUAUUUAAAUCUGUCCUCCAAAAAAGAAACUUUACAUAUUCCAGAACAUUAAUUUCCUUCAUUUUAAAUUUCCCCCGGAAAAAAAAACUCUAUUUAUAACGCACUGUAAUUGAAAAAUAAACUGAAAGGUCACGGGAAAAAAAAUUCUAUUCAUAAUUUAAAAAUUCAAAUCCACGUCGGUUAUAUUAAACAUAACGACGUUAAAUGAAAAGAUUCCACGUCGCAAAACAAAUAUUGCGUCGUGUUAGUUAAAAACGACGGCAUAACAAAAAACCGUCGUUGUUUCAAACUGAAUUAAUUUAUUCGGGAAAGCAAAAUCUAUUUAUAAUUUCCUCGGGUUAGUAAUAUUGCGUCGUGUUAGUUUACAAAUUCAAGAACAUUAAUUUCCCUCAUUUUAAAUUUCCUCGGGAAAGAAAAAUCUAUUUAUCACGCUUUGUAAUUGAAAACUAAAACUGAAAGAAUUCGGGAAAAAAAACUCUAUUUAUAAUUUAAAAAUAAAAUCCACGUCGGUUGUAGUACACUUAACGACGUUUAACAAAAUAAUCUACGUCGGUAAUUAUAAAUCUACCGCCAUCUUACCUUAAUAUAGACGACGAGAAAAGACGACGGUAGAACAGAAAACCGCCGUUGUUUCAGUUUCUUUAACAGUUUGGUCCUUUAUCUUUCUGCAGGACUUGUAUAGUUCAAAGCAUUGACAAUGUCUUCAUCAUAUCUCCCAGCAACUACUGAUUCGAUUGCUCAUGCUUUAGAGGCCAUCUGAAGCCAUUUCUAUUCUUUAUCGCAUUCUUGAAACCCAUCUUCUUCUUCUGAAGCUCUACGGAUAAAGGAAGAGGCUAUCACAAAUCUGACGGAUCUUCUUAGCCAAGAAAAUCAAGCAGAUUUCCCUGAGAAGCGAACUUUCCUUCGACAGCGAGUGGAGGCCAGGCUUGCAUCUCUUUUGAUGGAAAGCAAGGAGUAUUCAGAAGCACUAAGUGUCCUAUCAGGCUUGAUCAAGGAAGUGAGAAGGCUAGUUGACAAGCUUCUUCUUGUGGACAUAUAUUUGAUGCGAGUAAGCUCAAUUUCUCUUUGAGAAAGACAUCCAAAUUAUUGUCUUUGAGACGUGAGAGACUGAGAGAGGAAGAACUUGGAACCGUAAAUGUAAACCGAAAAUGAAUGAAAGCGACAAAUUUAUAGAAUAAAUUUUUAAAACCAACGGCGGUCCUUACAAAAAAACCGCCGUUUAAAUUGUAAAAUCAACGUCGGUAUGAUCGACGUAUAUUACAGAAAUCCACGUCGGUACAUUAAUAAAAACGACGUGUUAAAUAAUCUACCAUGACGCGAGUUAUUACUUAUGUACUUUAAUUUUUGAGUUUACUACGAUGGUACCUACAACACUACUGUCGUAUUUAUUUACCACGUCCGAAGUUAAAUGUACCGUCGUAUUUUGUAAUUUAUACGUCGUAGUUAUAUAUAACCGCCAUAUUAUUUUUUUGAAAUGGUUUUAUAUGUAAGCAACUUUUCGUCUACCUGACAUACACAUGCGCUGUUUCCAAACCCGAUUAAAAAUUUCAAUCUCCCAGAGAAAACUUUUAGACUUUUUUCCUUGUCAGAGCACUGUCAGAGUAUCUCAUCGUCUUCCUCUCGUCUUCUUCGUCGUCUCUGAACUUAAACAUAAUCUUCCUCUUGCUUUCAUUAUACGCAAAAGGUAAGCUUUCAUUUUCACUAUUUUGGUUGCUGUUUUGCAUGCUCAUACGUUUUUUGUUUGAAAAAUCUUUUUACCUUUUUUCUGGCCAAAAUCAUUUUACUUCUUUCCAAGUUCGAUAAAAUAUACAGACAAAGAGGGAAAGUUUCCAACUUUGAAGACAACUACCUCAACUAAAUAAGACGACGGUAGCUUCUUAUUUACGUGGUUAAAUAUGUAGACCACGACGGUUCGUCAGUCGUUCUAGCGUCGUCUGAAAAUUGACAAAGUUGUUUUUAAAAUUAUAGUCUUUUUUUUAUUUGCUUGUUUAAUUGCAGGUUUGAUUUCUCUGAACAAUGGUUUUUGUUUUUCCCUAAUUUGAUAAAAUAUAAAGAAAAAGAAAGUAGGGUUGGUAUCUAAUAUAGACGACAGUAUCUUAUUGUUUUACGUCGUGUGAAUGUUAAUACCACGACGUCAUAUUAAAAUACCGUCGUCUAUAUAAGAUUCCAAAACUUUCUUUCUUGGCCUUGUAUUUUAUCAAAUUAGAAAACAAAAACCAUGGUUCAGAAAAAUCAAAUCUGCAAUCAAACAUUCACAGAGAAAGAAAGAAGGGUUUUGGAUCCUUAUAUAGACGACGGUAUAUUACUACUGACGUCGUGUAAACAUCAAUACCACGACGUUAUAUAAAUAUUUCGUCGUUUAUAGUUAAUUAUCACGUCGUUUAUAGUUAAUUAUUUCGUUGUUGUUUAAUUACCUUGGUUUUAAACAUUUAUUACGUCUGAGAUUAUUUCAUUGCGUCGUUUAAAAUCAUAUCAUACGUCGUAUUUUAUUAAUAACCGUCGUUUGUGUUCUUAAUCUUUUCCUGAAAUAUUUUCACUUGCAGUUUUGUCUGUAAAAAUGGUUUCUCACCAAGACCAAAGUAAGGAUUCUGGCUCCAAGAAAAAUGGAGGUAAGGAGCUUGGAAUGGUACCUCCUCAAGUGAAGCCUUCGAAGAAGAUGAAGUUUGCUCCAUCAUCUGCUGAGACAGAACCAACCAGCACGACAACAAUCUCUGAUGAUUCAAAGUCUGGUCGAGGUAUGAGCACAAUGCCUCGUGUUGUGAAGAGAAAACUUCAGAAACUGAGGCCAAUUGUUGAGUACAAUAAAAGGGGGAAAGGAAUUGGCCAAGCACAUAGUGAGAUGCAGUCCUACAUUGGUGUGUUGGCACGCUCCAGAGUUCCACUUGUGGACAUGAAAUGGGCUCAAAUCCCCAAGGAUAUAAAGGAGCAGAUUUGGGAAGCAGUUGACAUUGCUUUUGUGGUAGGUCAAGGGGGCAAGAGCUCUGUGUUAGCUUCUGCUGUCAAGAAAUAGAAGGAUUUCAAGUCUACACUAACGAGGCAUUAUAUCCUUCCAUACACCAAUGACAGGGAGAGAUUAAGCCAACCCCCUGAAACAUAUAAAUUCAUAGAGAAAGCACAAUGGGAUGCCUUUGUAGCUUCAAGGUUAUCCAAAGAUUUUGAGUCUGUGCAUUCUCAACAUGCACAGAUUAGGGAGAAACUUGAGUACAAUCAUCGAUUGUCUCGAAAAGGAUAUGCUGGUUUGGAGGAUCAAUUGGAGGAAACCAUGCCUGGGGUAGAAAUUGGUCGAUCUACCUUAUGGAAGAGAGCUAGACAGGACAAACAUGGUAACAUCCCGGAUCCAAAGGUGGCAGAGAAAGCAAAAUUAAUUGUAAGCCUACUCACUCUGUUUUAAAUUUUUAUUCAACUGUGAAUAAUUCUUAUUACGUCUUAUGUUAUAUUUUGCGUCGUGUGAAUGAUAUUACCACGUCGAAAUUUUUUAAACAACGUCGUUAAAGGUCUAAAUAGGAAUCACUACUCUGUUUUCUGUAAUUAUAGCAUAAGAUGUCGGUGGUUCAUUUUCGCGUCGUUUGUAUUGAAUUACUACGUCGAAAUGUUUUAAACAAGGUCGUUAAAGGUGUGAAUAUUGAAUCAUCCCUCUGUUAUCUGUAAAUAAAGCAUAAGACGUCGGAGGUUUAUUCAUUUCGUCGUUUUAAAAACUAACCACGUCGGUAUAACUACCGUCGUGAUAAAUUAUAAUAACGUCGAUUUAUAUGUUAUUGCGUCGUGUGAAAUUAUAUAAUACGUCGUUUGUAUAUAAAUAACCGUCGUGUGUUUUUGUUCUUACUUUUUUAUAUAUCUUUGUUUUAGGAUGAAUUGCAAAAACAAGUCUCGGAAGGCAAAGUCACUGUUUCUGGCAGCAAUGAUGUGCUGACCAUGGCUUUGGGCCCCGAGCAUCCAGGCAGAGUGAGAGGAGUAGGUGCUGGGAUCUCACCAAGGCAAUAUUUCAAUUUACCCAAACCACAGAGAGUGAGCUUUGACGACCGUUUGAAUGACAGUUUAAGAGUUCUCCUUCAAGAAGAGACUAAAAAGAUGGAAGCUAAGGCAAGGGAAGAGGCUUUAAGGAUGGAGGCUAGAACGAAACAAUUGGUAGAGGCUGAGAGGGAGCAUUUCCUGAGUCAGCUUUCCCAAUUAAUUCCCAAUUUUGAUCCAAGCAUGCUUAAACCCAGAAUUAGCCAAAGUCCCAAAAAUCCAAUGUCUGACAAAACAAGCUGCUCUGGAGGUGAUGUGAGAUCCCAGCAUUUUGAGGAUGAUACUGCCAAAAAUGGGAAACAUCAGGAAGAAAAGGUAACAUAUCUGAACUUUGAAUUCUCUGUUUUUUUAAAAACCAUUAGACGUCGUUAUUAUUAAUAAAACCGUCGUUUGAAAUACAUACCACGACGAUUUUAAAAAUAAGUCGUCGUUUGUAUUUCAAUACCACGUCGUAUUUAGUUUACUUGUUUUACACGCCAUUAAACGUCGUUAUUUUUAAAACUUUGUGGUUUUUAGACGACGGAGUUAGUCAUUCCCGCCGUAAUAGAUGAAGAGAAGAGAGAAGAAAAACAAGAUGAAAAGGAGAAAGAAGAUGACGACCAGGUAUGUUCACAUAACUUUGCCUUUUUUAUUUGUUUUUCAAAAUUCCAGACGUCGAUAUUUUUCUUUAAACCGUCGUUUGUUUACAACUUAGACGGCGGAAUUUUUUUCUAAGACGUAAUAAAUUAUUCACCACGACGGUUUCUUCACCGUCGUUUAAAUUCUUUUCAGACGACGUUGUAUUCCUUAAACCGUCGUUUUUAUUGAAUUACCACGUCAUUUUUUUUAUUUCUUUAAACAGGUUAUUCAAGGUGUUGAUUAUUCAAAUAUGGAGGCGCCAUCUUCUUUAAAAUCCCUUUGUCGUUAUGUGGAAACGACACUCGUGCCUCAGGAUAAGACCCUGCACUUUACAAUUGAUAAGGAGGUGUUUGGUCUAGAGCGCGAUACCUUCCUCCUGCCUGAAGAUAUUACACAAUUUGCAGGCAUGGAAGAAAUAGGAGCCACUGUCAUUGCUGUAUAUAUGAGGUUUGUCAUUCUAAAAUAAUACGUCGUUGGUUUAUUUAUUGCGUCGUCUUAACCAACUAACCGCGUCGUUAGUAUGUACCGUCGUGAUAAAUAUAUUAUAACGUCGUUGUCUAUUUCAGUACGUCGUGUGAAAUUUUAUAAUACGUCGUUUUGUUAUACAUAACCGUCGUGUGUUUUAUGUAUAUAUGAGGUUUGUCAUUCUAAAAUAAUACGUCGUUGGUUUAUUUAUUGCGUCGUCUUAACUAACUAACCACGUCGGUAGUAUGUACCGUCGUGAUAAAUAUAUUAUAACGUCGUUGUCUAUUCCAGUACGUCGUGUGAAAUUUUAUAAUACGUCGUUUUGUUAUACAUAACCGUCGUGUGUUUUUUUGUGCUGACUUGUUUAUAUUAUUUUAUAUAUCUAGGUACUUACACGAUGUUUUGAAACGAGCAAAUAUGUGCUCCAUGGUUGGCUUUAUCGACCCUGCUACAGUUAGUGCCAGCUCUGGCACAAUAGCUGACAGAUCACGCCUACUAGCAGCUCGACUUCAGAGGACUGACGGUGAACAGAUUUUCCUGAUGCCUUACAAUCCAGGGUUAGUCUCCUUAACAGGAUUUUGAUUUUAUGAUUUUCAAUAAAUGACAGCGUAUAAACUAACCACGUCGGUGUUUUAUUUUAUUGAGUCGUUGCAAAACUACUAACCACGUCGGUAGUUAUUUAUCGUCGUGAUAAAUUUAUAAUGUCGUCGAUUGCUUCUUUAUUUCGUCGUGUGAAAUAUUAUAAUACGUCGUUUUUGUAAAUAACCGUCGUUUUAUAUUAAUUUUGUGCAGCCGUCAUUGGAUCUUGCUGAUUGUAAGAGCAAAGAGAGAAACCGUCUAUUUUCUGGAUUCUCUGCCAGGAAAUCGUGUGGUCGAUGAAGAGGCCAAAAACAUUGUGAACAGUGCUAUAAAAAUUUAUAACUCUCACAUAGCUAGACCAGGCCGUAAGGCAGUCAUUUGGAAAACUCUGUCAGGCACACCAAAGCAACCCAGCAGUGUCGAAUGCGGGUAUUAUGUGAUGCACUUCAUGAGGGACAUCAUCAUGGAUCCUUCCUUGGGGUUUGAGAAGAAGGUAAGAAGAAAUUACCUUCAUACAUUUUACGUCGUUUUAUGUAUUAUCAACGACGGUCAUGUAAAAUUACCGUCGUUGAAUAGAUAGUACGUCGGUUAUGAAAAAUAUCGUCGUCUGUGAUUUAAUUUCUUUUUAUUUAUAAACCCUAAUAGUCAUUGUUUAUGUAGUAUGCCAAGGGAAAACAGGAAGCGCCAUACCCCCAAGAAGCAAUUGAUGAAGUCUGGAAUGAAUGUGCAGAGUUUGUUUGCCUUCACCUGGAAUAGGGGAAUUAUUGAACGCUUGAUAUUUAUGUAUAAUGUACAAAUUUUGUCUAUAAUAUAUAAUGUAAAAAUUUGUUGAGGUUUUCUUAAAUUAAAAAAAAAAACAAACAUACAAAUUGCGUAAACGACGUGUAAUACUUUUCCAACGACGUAAUAAAGUCAAAAGCCGUCGUUUUUUGUUGUUUCGUUUUAAACAAAUCCGACGUAAAAGGAUAUUUAGACGACGUUCUUUGAACAAUUGAGUCGUUUAUGGUUUACAACGUCUUCAAUUUCUUAAGGGUUCAGGGUAGUACUUUGUAACGACAGCGGUUAAGUCGUGGAAUAUAUAUUUUAUGUCGGAUAGUUAAAUAUCCGCCAUGGUUUCUCAUUUAAACGACGUCAUUUUAACAACUUAGUCGUCUAUUACAAUUUACAACGUCUACAAUUUAUUAACACCGACGUGGUUUGUUGUUGUGAUAAGAAUAUUUUAUUAUUUUUAUAUCAAAAUAUUCAAAAUAAAUUUAAAAUAAAUCAGAAAAAUGCAAAGUCAACUCCUAUGAAGUCAUUGAUAUAUUUUCUUCCCCUAAACCUUGAAAAAAUUCAUUUUGAAUAACAAAAAUUUAAAAUGGCCAUCCAAAACAAAAUUAUUUUGAUGAGUCAUAAAAUCACUUCUAGUUUUAUGGUUUAGGGUUUAGAGUCUAGGGUUUAGAGAUUAGGGUUGUUAUUUAUUGGGGUUUAUUUUUAAAGUAUAAUUUUUGGGUAGUCUAGGGUAUAUAUUAGGCUGUAAAACCAUAAACCCUUUUAUAAACUUAAUUUUUAAAAUUAUAUAAUUUAGUUUUAAGGGUUUAGGGUAUUAAUUGUUAACGACGGUGGUUGAGUCGUGGAAUACAUAUGUUACGUCGUGCAGUAAAAUAUCCGACAUGGUUUCCACUUUAAACGACGUCAUUUUAAUAUGUAAGUCGUCUAUUAUAAUUUACAACGUUUUCAGUUUCUUAACUUCGACGUGGUUUUUCAGUCGUCUUUAUAUCAAAAUAUUCAAAAUAAAUUUAAAAUUAAUUCGAAAAAUGAAGCGUCAAAAGAAACGGCGUUACGUUCAGUGUUUCCGUCGUGGAAUAUUACAUUUACGUCGGUUCUUGUAGAACUUUCGCCAUGGUUUUUCUUUCGACGUUUUAAAGAACGCGCGCUCUAAAAAUUUUCGCGCGCCCUAAAUUUUUUUAUAUUUGGCUCUUAUUCUUAUACUUCUAACCCUGAACCCUAAAAUUUUCAGAUUUCGCGCAACAUAACAUUCGCUCUCUCACUUCUGCUCUAAUUAAAAGUUGCACUCUCCAGGCUCCGUCGAAUCUGUAAGCUCGUCCAACCUGUAAGUACAAACCCUAUCUUCCCCUUGUAAAUUCAUUGAAUGAUAUUAGGUUGUUUUGUUAAAUGGUUUUAGGUAUAUGCUUUGCGAUCUGUUAAUAAUGUGCUUAUAGGUAUGGGUUCAUGGAUUUUCUGUUUAAUGGGUUCAUGGAUUUUCUGUUUAAUGGGUUCAUGGAUUACAUUAUCUGUUAUGUUGAAUUGGGAAUGGAUUUAAUUUUGUCGGAUCUUUUAAUCACCCUAUGUUAUGUUGAAUUGGGAAUGGAUUUAUUGUUUUCAUGCUUGGUUUCAUGUAUAUGUUGGUUUCUUGCUUGGUUUCAUAUAUAUGUUGUGUUCUUAAUGGGUUUUGGGUUCUUGAAAAUAAACUGAGACACGACGCCUUUUUAGGCAUACGACGACGAUUACACGACGGUUUAUGAAAAAACUGUCGUUGUAUUACUUAUACACGACGGUUUUUUCAUAAACCGUCGUUUGUAUUACUUAUAUUAGACGACGUCUGUUGAAAAUCCGUCAUCUAUAUAUGCCAAAUACGUCUGUUUUUGUUUAAAACUCGUCGUCUCUGUUGUGUAUUACUUGCUAUUAGAUCUUUGUAUAAUCUGCUAUAGUGAUGGUCAUUGCCUGUAUUUUCACUUUAUUAUAGAUAAUAGGUUAUAGUGUCGGAGAUGGAUAAGUCAUGGAUGCACUCGAAUAGAAGAUCGAAGGCAUAUGAGUUUGGGGUGGAAGCAUUUUUGAACUUUGCUGUAGAAAAUCUUCUAACUACAACACAUAUCCGUUGUCCAUGUGUUAAAUGUGUUAAUUUGAAGUUGUUUGGGGUUGGAAUUAUAAGGGAUCACUUAUACUUUAAUGGAAUUGACCAAAGCUAUAAGAAUUGGACAUUUCACGGAGAACCUUGGGAAGCAACUACUAAUGCUAGUAGAAAUGUUGAAGAAGAUGAUGGCCAUAGUAGGUACAGUUUUGUGUCUGAAGAAAUUGAUAUGGAUGAUAAUGAUUUUGGUGAUUUUGGUUCUGAUCCGUAUGAGUUUGCCAAUGUGAUUGGGGAUGGAGAUCAACCAGUGUACCCUGGUUGUAGAAAGUACACGAAGUUAUCGGCAUUAGUGAAGUUGUAUAAUUUGAAGGCAAAACAUGGGAUGAGUGAUGUCUGUUUUACAGAAUUAUUGAUACUUCAAGGCGAUUUGCUUCCAGAAGGAAAUACAAUACCAACCUCUAUGUAUGAGGCUAAAAAGACUUUGUGUGCAUUGGGGCUGAGUUAUGAGAAAAUGCACGCAUGCCCCAAUGAUUGCAUCUUGUAUAGGAAGGAGUAUGAGGAUUCAACUAAUUGUCUUACUUGUGGUAUCUCAAGGUGGAAGGAAGGCAAAGAUUCAAUCUUGAAAGAGGGUGUGCCAGCGAAGGUGGUGUGGUAUUUUCCUCCAAUUCCAAGGUUUAAAAGGAUAUUUCAAUCACAUGAGACAGCUAAGAGUUUGACUUGGCAUGCUGCUAGAAAAUCAAUUGACGGUCAGAUGUCUCAUCCGGCGGAUUCCCCGUCUUAGAAACUUCUUGAUGAUAAAUGGCCUGAGUUUGGUAAUGAGCCGAGAAACUUGAGAUUGGCUCUUUCAUCUGAUGGAUUCAAUCCCCACAGUUCUCUAAGUAGCAGAUAUAGUUGUUGGCCGGUUAUCUUAGUUACAUAUAAUCUCCCUCCAUGGCUGUGCAUGAAACGAAAGUUCAUGAUGUUAACCUUAUUGAUUUCCGGUCCUAAACAACCCAGAAAUGAUAUAGACGUCUACUUGGAGCCUUUGAUUGAUGAUUUAAAAUCUUUGUGGGAUGGGAUUAGAGGAGUGUAUGAUGCACAUAAUGGAGAAUACUUUACACUCAGAGCUGCAUUAAUGUGGACAAUUAAUGAUUUCCCCGCCUAUGGAAACUUAUCUGGUUGUGUUGUUAAAGGAUAUAAAGCUUGUCCAAUAUGCGGCGAUGAUACACCUAGUCACAGGUUGAAAAAUGGCCACAAAAUUUGUUACAUUGGGCAUAGAAAAUGGUUACCAAUCAAUCAUCCAUAUAGGAGGCAACGUGCAGCUUUUAAUGGGAAACCUGAAUAUGGCAUACCUCCCGAGCCAUUAACCGGAGAAGAAGUGCUGCAUAUGGUUGAAAAUGGUGACAGAGUUUGUUGGAAGAAGAACUCAAUAUUCUUUGAUCUCGAGUAUUGGAAAUACCUUCCUAUGAGGCAUGCCCUAGAUGUUAUGCACAUUGAGAAGAAUGUUUGGGAUAGUAUUAUUGGUACAUUGCUGGAGAUCCCUGGAAAAAAUAAAGAUGGGAUUGCUGCUCGAUUAGAUUUAUUGAACAUGGGGGUCAAAACUGAUUUGCAACCCGAGUAUGGAGAAAGACGUACUCGUUUGCCUCCUGGGCCUUGGAAUUUGUCAAGAGCAGAGAAGAGAGAGGUUUGCAAUUCUUUCUAUGGUAUGAAGGUCCCUGAAGGUUAUUCUUCAAAUAUUAAAAAUCUUGUAUCUUUACAAGAUUCAAGACUUCUUGGCCUUAAAUCACAUGAUUGUCAUACCUUAAUGCAACAAUUGCUCCCUGUGGCAAUUCGUUCUGUUUUGGAGAAGCCUGCCAGGUAUGCAAUAACUCGUUUGUGCUUCUUCUUCAAUGCUAUAUGUGCAAAGACUGUUGAUGUUUCCAAGCUAGAUAAGUUGGAAGAAGAUGUAGUAGUUACUCUGUGUUUGCUUGAGAAGUACUUUCCCCCUUCAUUCUUUGAUAUCGUGGUUCAUCUAGUAGUACAUCUUGUCAGAGAAGUUCGUCUAUAUGAGCCAGUAUAUUUUAGGUGGAUGUAUCCGUUUGAAAGAUAUAUGAAAGUUCUGAAGGGGUAUGUUCAGAAUCGUACUCGUCCCGAAGGUUGCAUUGCUGAGCGGUAUAUAGCUGAAGAAGCGGUAGAGUUUUGUACUCAGCAUUUAUCUGAUGUUAGUACAGUUGGAGUGCCUUCAAGCCAAAAGAUGGGACUUUCAAAGCCAUUAUCAGGUUGCACAGUGAGCGUAGUUGAUCAGGACCUGUUGAAUCAAGCACAUCUAUAUGUCUUGGAGAAUACGGAGGAAGUCCUACCUUAUAUCGAGUACGUAUGAGUUUUAUUCUUUAAGUUUCCAUUUUAAAUUAUUUCUUAUGUUUAUCUUCUAUAUUUGGGACCGUAAUGCUUGAAUUUUUCGUGUCAUGUAGGCAACAUAUGAUCCACAUCAAGACUGCUUAUCCAAAAUUUAGAAAGAGAACAAAGUGGCUGCAGGAUAAGCACAAUAGCACUUUCAUUCAAUGGCUACGCUUCAAGGUAUAUGUUGUUGAAUAACAUAUUUCUCUUUUAAUUUUCUUCUUAUUUCUAUGUUAGAUUAAGAUAUAUGAUUAAUUUGCAGGUUCAAAGUGAACUUGAGGAAGACAAUCAUGGCGUAUCAGAAAAUUUAAGGUGGCUAGCAGCUGGUCCAAACAUGGCAGUGCCAUUAUAUAGGAGCUAUCUUAUUAAAGGUAUUAAAUUCAAUAUCAAGGCACAAGAUGAUGUGCGGACAACUCAAAAUAGUGGAGUUUAUUUACUUGCACAUACCAUGCAAGUUGCUAGUGCCAAGGAUAAAAACCCAAUUCUCUCAAAUAUGGGUUUCUAUGGUGUCAUUCAAGAAAUUUGGGACCUUGACUACCAAAAGUUUACAAUCCCAGUCUUUAGGUGUGAUUGGAUAGAUAGUUCUGGUCUUGUAGUAGACGAACUUGGAUUUACCCUUGUAGAUUUGAGUAAAAUUGGACAUAGGAAUGACCAAUUUGUUUUGGCUUCUCAAGUCAAACAAAUAUUUUUUGUUGACGACCCGAUGCAUCAUGGUUGGUCGGUAGUGUUAUCAAUGCCUAAUAGAGAAUAUAAUGAUGUUAUUGGUGAUGAAGUCUUAGGUGAUGUGAUAAUUGAGUGUGAGCCAUUUACUAGAGGGAUGCCAAAUGUUGACACAUUUGAUGAACUGGUGGGUGAGUUAGGCGGUCAAAAUAUUCGAGAUGGGUGUGAAGAUAUAUGGAUUGAAUGAUGCUUAUGUAAUUGGCAGUGUAUGACAUUAAUUUUGUAAUAUAUUGUAAUGUGAUUUCUUCACUUUCUACGUUCAAAUAAAACACGACGUUAUUGUGAACCAGUUAUUCAGCAUAUUUACCGACGUCUUAAAGCAACGUAACAAUGAAGAACCAUGACGCUAUUGUGAAGCAAUUAUUCAGGAUAUCACGUCGGGGAAGGAUUAAGAACCGCCAUGUAAUUCAAAAUAACACUACUCCAAUCCCAUAAUACCGACGUCUAAAAAACGAGAUAUAUAAUCUGAACGUUAAAAAAUACGACGUCAUCAUACAUUUUCCACGUCGCAAGUUCUUUUAUAAACGAAGAGGAACGAAAUGAAUUCCGACGGUAAUUCAUUAUAACCGCCGUCUAAUAUCAAUUAAACGACGUUAUUUGUAAUACGGCUCUCAUCAUAAUCAACGCCGUCUAUAUGUUCUGUAAUACGGCUCUCAUUUAUUUGGAACCGACGUUGUUUAGAAGUUCAACGUCGUCUAUAUUAAUAAGUGCGUCGUGAGUAAUGAAUACAUAUAAAUACAACGUCGACAAUAUAAAUGCCACCGACAUUGUUUCGCAUUCAACGUCAACUAUAUAAAUACAUACGUCGUAAAUAAUGACACUGACAACUAUUUCCACGUCAUCUUUUUUAGAAAAAUCGAAGUGGAAAAUUUAUUUCACGACGGUUGUUUGUAAAUAAGAGACGUAGUAUAUUUCAAUAACGUCGUCUUCUCAUGUAUUUAAAGACGUCAUAUUUUUUCUUGUCGUGAAAAUUAUAUUUAACGGCGUAAUGUUUUAGUUAUCGUCGUUGUAUGUCUAUCUUGCGGCCUUGUUCUUUUAAUAUGUGUCAUAUUUUUCCUUUUUAACGACGGUGAUUUGUUUGAGUUGGUCGUCUAUUCUCAUCGUCGACUAUUUUUUAGAACUUUAGCAGACUAAACACGUCUGUUUUUAUUUGUUUUCGACGUUGGUUUAUUUAACAACGUCUAAUAUUUAUCGUCGUUGUUUGUUUCUGAAAAUAGGACGUAUAAAUUUUGUAAUACGACUCUCAUAUAUUUGUAACCGACGUUGUUUCCUUGUUCAACGUCUACUCUAUAAAUACAUACGUCGUAAAUAAUGACACUGACAACUAUUUCCACGUCAUCUUUUAUAGAAAAAUCGAAGUGAAAAAUUUAUUUUACGACGGCUGUUUUUAUAUAGGCGACGUAGUAGGUAUCAAUAACGUCGUCUUCUAAUGUAUUUAAAGACGUCAUAUUUUUUAUUGUCGUGAAAAUGAUAUUUAACGGCGUCUUUUUUUAAUUUUCGUCGUUGUCUGUCUAUAUUGCGGCCUUGUUCUGUUAAUAUGUGUCAUAUUUUUCCUUUUUAACGACGGUUUUUUUAGAGACUUGGUCGUCUAUUCUCAUCCUCGACUGCUUUUUUAGAUCUUUUUGCAGUACAAAGACGUCGUUUUGUAUUUGUUGAUGACGUUGUAUAUUGUAACAACGACGGUGAUUUAGCGUCGUGGUUUAUGAGGGAAAAGAUGACGGUGGAUUCCACGACCAUUGAAAAACCGAAUACACGACGGUGAUUUACCGUCGUCUUUUUGCUUUUUUGUAGUAGUGUAGGAGAGAAAUGUGAUUCUCUUCUAACAGAAUUACAGCUGUCAUCCUAUUAGAUUCUUACACCUGUCAUAGCAAAUCUAAGCUAGAGAAUCCACCUGGACUAUGAUCUAAUGGCUCUCCUUACAUCAUUUAAAUAAGCUGACCAAAAACAGAACAAAUAGAGAAUAGCUUCAGCUCUAAGAAAUCUGCUGCAGGAUUAUAUUUCAACACUAGCUUGUACCAAAUCACUUGGGUUUGUUUUCGUGCUCAUGCAACCCUUCCGCAAGAGAUUUCUCAUGAAAAUGAUCACACUCUAUCCUUGUGUAGAAAUAGGAUACCCUACCUAGCUAGCUCCUCUGGUUAACAGACAACAAAAGGGACCACCAUGUUCUUGAAAAAUGAAUUCAUUGCUCCUCUGGUUAAUUAACAGUACUGCAUAUGGUAUGCCCUACAACAAAAACUUGUUAACUUGUGUGAUAAACUAGUAGUCUAUUUCUUUUUCAUCUUUUUAUAAAUGCUGCUUCAAAAGACAAGAAUUUGUGGUGCUAUGAGAAUAUACAUGGACCCUCGGAUGCUCUAUGAUUUGGUUGGUUGGGAGCACCAAACCACCCUUGCAUGUGGCUUUGUCCUUUCAUCUAUGAUCUUCAGGCCCAACAAGCAAGGGAAGUCUUUCAUUUGUUUGAAGAAUUGAUACUUAUUGAGAAUGCAGUAGGUAAUGAGUACAUAUCUAAAAAGCAUAUGAUAUCAAGAGAGUGCUAAUCUGUAGCAAUUGUAAAAUGUAGGAUACAUACUUUUUACUUAAAGUUAAACAUAUGAAAAGAUGUUUUACUAAUCGAAUUAUUUGAUAUAGCAAAUGUAAAUUGAAAAAGAUGAAAACCAACAUUAAGUUCUCUUUGUAGGCGCUAGUAGAGUAAAACAUGCCAAUUCGUUGUAAGUGCAAGCCACAUCGCUUAUGCUUAUACUCAACAUGAAAUGAAUUGUUGACAUUACAAUUCGUGAAAUCUAUCUGUUGACUCUAGCGACGUCAGUAAUUUCAUCUAAAUUGUAGAAAUUUGUUAUAAAAACAAAGAAGAUUAUUGAACAACCUGAUUACCUAAAACCAAAUUAGAUUUUAGAAAAAUAUAGUAGAUACAUAAAACUUUAUUACCUAACAAAGAAAGAUGUCAAAUCUUUCAAAAACAUUUUCUUACAACCAAGGGAAAAAAUCCAAGAUUGAAUUGAUGAAAAUGACUUCGUUUGGACCACUCAAACCUUCUUUGCUAAUUACUCAGUUAGCUAGUUUGUUAAAGUAGAGAAGUUACCUAGUAUAUCUCCAACAAAAAUAGUCAUAUUGUAAAGCCUGUUAUGUAACUAAGGGAAUUGUGGAGAGAAUAUAGAGAAAACAAGUAGCAAUAGAAAGGCUCUUCAUCUGCUUGUAUUAAAGUUUACUUUGUAUCCAUUACAAUUGAGAAGGUAGCCUUGUUUAUAGGCCAAGCCUUGGCUAACAACCAGAGAAAGAAGGCUCAUGGAAGGUGUAAGCAAAUAACGUUCCAACUUGUGGGCUCCACUUGCAGACUUUUACAACACUCUCUCUUGGAUACCACAAUGUAUGGAAUCUGUCUCGUUAAAAACCUUGCCAAUAAAAUUUAGUGGGACAAAAAAUGGUCCAAAGGGAAAAAGAGCGCAUAAUCAUGUGUAACAUAAAAUUAUGUAUAUAUAACACUGACACGCGUGCGACACUGCCUCGUUAAAACCUUGCCAGGUAAAACUCAGUGGGACAAAAAAGAAAAAACUAGAUGAAGGAAAAAGAGUACAAUGUGUGAAAAUCUUAUUGAUGGCACGCUCCCCCUGAUGCUGACAAAAUAUCUUUAAGUCAUGAUGUUGACAAUCUUUCUGAAUGUCGUAGUUGAACACUGCUUCCAUGAAUCAAUCUUGUAAUACUGGUGGAUGCUACCCCUAAAGAAUUACUCCCCUUGAUGUCUUCUUUGAUGAUCCAACACAAAUGAUAUUGAUAUCACAUUUGUACUUCACAAACUGAUCUUUGGUAAUGCUUGUAGAAAACUUGUUGUUGUAACAUCUCUGGAGGAUCCCUGUGUGUCGUCAUUCAUCUAAUUCUUAUUGAGGUUAGAGUAAUACAGAAAAAUAUCUAGGCUAUUUUCAUAAGACUUUCACUGUACACAAUGGUUUGAAUUUCAUAUGUUUUCCAAUAUAAAAAACAAUAAGCUCAUAUUUAUAAUGAUAAGAGCAUUAAAUAUUUAUAUGGUGUUGUUUACCCUUUUUGUAUUUGAGUAUGUUGAAGCCUAAAUAAAAUUCCCCAUUAAUUUUUUAAACACUUAAUGGUUUCUUGAGUAACUUUCUUGCCACUAUUAGCAGAUAAUACCCUAACAGAUUUGAACAACUUUAUAUACUUGCACCCCAAGUAAUAGACUUUAAACAAACAAUUGUGAUUUUGGAUGGGGAAACCUCCCAAGAGAGUUCUUUUCUAUGCCUCAGACUUGUGACGACUUCACAAUUUAUUAAGACAAAAAUGGUAAGCAAAGCAAAAUACACAAAUUUAUGAAGGGUAUAACAGACUAAUCCAAGCAAAACUACUUGAAGCACAAAGUAACAAAUGAAUCUUUAAAUCUACGUACUUCUCAAAGGGGUUGGACUUUGACUUAUGUUUGAAAACAUAGUCGCAAUGAUGACUUGUGAUUAGACUGGACUGAACUUUUGUUGACUAGAUUGAAUGUUUCUGCACUGGAAUUUCAUGUCAGCACCUUCAACUAAUAGAGAUUAGCUAGAAAUCGAUACCAAGUUUGAAGUUUGGCAGAGCUAUAAACAAGUUAAACCUUGAAUAGGCUAUGGAAGUGAUCAAAACUGCAAACGAGUACCUAUUCUUGUUGAUUCUGAGUGAUUUUAAAGCUAUCUAGACAAUUUUAAGACAUUAAGAUGUAUUUGAAAAGCUUGUUGAGGAUUUUGUAUGAUGAAAUACCUGACUUCUUCUUGUUUUAUCUAAUUUGAUGAACCAAAUUUGUCAGAGGAAUUAAUCUCGUUUGAAUUCUGUUUGAUUUACCUUAUCUGGAUUACAAGGGCAAUCUUGGUUUCUUCUUGGUUUUCUGAACUUCUUUUUGAGCUGGAUUGCUUGUUAAGGAAGAUUGCUUGCUUGCUUUUGGUAGUUGUAAGAUCAUAUGAUCUUUGAUUUCUUUUUAUCAAUCUGGAGUUAUUGUUGAGUUUUUCCUUAAUUUGUUGGUUAUUUGUCCCUUCUCCUGUCCAGACACUUUUGUAUUUAUAGGAGAAAAAUGAUGUUGAAGAAAUCUGGAAUUUUUAGUUUUGGACUAUCCUCCAUUUAAUGCACAAGUGGCAAAAGUUUUGUUAGUUAAUGCAUUGAUCGUUUUUGGCACCUGCUCAUUAAUGUUCUUGAAUGUCUCCUGAUCGUUCCUUUUGGAACAACUAAGCUGAAGUGAGCAAUAAUGCCCAAAUUCCUCCAACGUUGGUGUAACACCCGGAUCCAAUUUUAACUUCUCAUUCAAAUUAUUUAAUUUAUUUAAUUGUGAAAUUACAAUUUUACCCUUAGGGCAGGGUUAUUUUGGUCAGUUUUUAAUCCGAUAGGAUUUUGGGGAAUUGAAUGGCACCAUUACUUAGAGUGCAUCGAUACGAGUUCAUAGACAUUCAGUGGGAUCAAAUAAGAGUUUUAACAAAGAAGUUACGAUCAACGGAAGUGCAAUGGCACCACCGUAAAUAUUUCAAAAUUUGAAAUUGAAACACUAGAUUCUCUCUCUCAAUCUCUCCCUCAUGAAUCUCUCUCUCCUCUGUUGGGAGCACCACAACCCCGUCGUCUUCUAACGAUGAUUCCGGGGUCAUCCUUCCUCUCCUGCUACGAAACUGGUUACAAUUUUUUUUCAUCUCUCUCUCCUCUUUACAUCCAUACCAAUUUCCAACCUCAAUUCCAAGGGAUUAAGCCAAAAAUUCGAACGAAAACCCAACUCAAACUGGCCUGUCAAAAACCAUGACUUCCGGCGUUUGUUCUGGCCAACUUCACCGAUCACCAAGUGGGUUCCAAAACACUCCCGUGCCUCCCCUCUGUAAUUUUCCUCGAAGACCCGACUUGAUUUCAAUCCGAAACCAUCGAAUUGAAACCUAGAAGGUGUUUCAACGAGAAAACCAACUGUUCGAGGGCUUUAGCGGCUGAAUUGAUCUUCGAGCAAAGGUAUAAAGUUACUCCCCUUGAUGUGUUUGAUCUUUUGAUAUGAUUAUUGGCCAGCGGUUUGGAGUUUUUCGAUCGCCAGAAAUUUUUUCAAGACACCCGUAGGCAGUGGUGGCUCGUCAGUGGGGUAUCAAGGUUGGGUUUUGAAGCUAGAAUGUUCCCCAUGUCGUCCCAAGCACGAUAGUAUGCUGAAAUUUGAAUUUGGUUGUUGUUUGACGGUCGAUCAAAUUUACAUAUAUUAGGCGUCUUCCGUGUUCGAUAUGUUCAGACCGUUGGAUCGACUCCAUUUCCAACUAUGCUGGUCUAGAUACCUCUCAGAUCAUGUAGGAACUACGAAUUGAGAAUCGGAGUCCCGGAUACUCCAAUUUAAUGGCUCAAAGUUUGGGUAAAACGGUGACCGCCCGAUCGUAUGAUUGUGAGCGAUCCGACCGCUCGAUCUGGACCAAACUUGUAGGACGUGUUUAGUAAGCUUUGUUGAACCCGUAGGGAACUUUUGGAUAGGAAAUUGGAGGUCAUGGGCCCAACAGGCCCAGCUGACCAAAUUUGGGAAGUUUGACCACUUGGUUGACCGAGCGUCUUUCGAGGUUAUUUCACAUUUCGGAACAUGUAGUUGGACCUUAGAAACUUCCUGUUUGUUGUAUACACACCUUGAAUUCCGGGAAAAAUUAGGAAUUUAUUUUAAAGUUUCCAUCCGAAUUAUUUUAAUUAAUCUAGUCCUCGUAUUUUUCAAUAGGCACUUCGGCUCAGCGUACUCAAUAGGGUUAAGCAGCUCUAGAUUAUCUGUGAGUGGACUUUGUUUUUAAAUAAUAAUCAUUAUUUUCAAAGAGAAAAAGCUAUGCAUAAUGAGUUAUUCGAUUAUUGAGUUUAACAUAUUAUUUAUUUAAAUGUUUGAAUUUGCAUAUUGUGAUUAUCUUGAAUUAAUAUAUGCUAUGUUUGAGAGUUACUAUCUGACAGGACCCGAUCCAAAUUCCGCUUUGGAAUUCGAGCCGGACCCUGUGCGUGUCCGACACCUGGCAAAUGUCGGGCACAAAUGACCUAUUUGCCCUUCUAUACAAAACAUGAUAAAAUAACAAGGUUGACGUCUACCGAAAAACCGGCAGAGUUUUCCUUGUAACUGGCUCAAUACCAACAUAUUUACACCUGCCAAACAAGUAUAUAUAUAUACAUCCAACUGCCAGCAUACAUUUAUAUACAGUCCAACCGUUCAAUUCUCAAUCUAGGGCAAAACAUCAGAGCAACUUCUAAGAAUUUACAAAGAAGUGAAUCUUUUUACAAAACAAAAAUCCUACAUCAAAGAAAAGGCGCGGAAGAUAGAAAACGGCCCGGUGGUGGAUCACUGUGCACGUCUUCUGCCUGGGGGAGCAAAACAUGGAAAAGGGUGAGUGGACCUAAAAAAAAAGUUUAGAAAAUAUGAACAUACUAACUCCACUGUAAAAACAGUUGUACAAACUAAAUUAUUCUCUUUAUUUCUGCAAUCAAUGCACGUAUAUAAUUAUACAUGUAAAUAAUCAUAUUCAUGGUCAACAUUACUUUUAAAAACAGUUUAAAACUACCACCUAGGUGUACCCUUUAUUUCCGUCAAUUCCUUAUAUCCGUCAAUUCCUUGCAUCACCAUAGGUGACACAUACUCGCAGGUCUCAGUGACACGAGGUCAGUCCGAGCCGCAACUCGCAGGAUUCAGGGGACCGUGGUCCACCUUUAUCCGCAUACUCGCUCCACACGAGUUCGAUUACCAAGGAACUUGUGGGGCAACUGUCAAGCAUGCUGACUAAACCGAAGGCAACCAAUAUAAUCCGAAGGCAACAUUUAAUAUCUGGGUACAAGGUGGUUUAACAAAAUAUAAAGUUUCGGAAGCAAAGCUGUUAAAUAAUUAACUUUCUGUAACCUUUCAAAUUCUGCUGCCAUUUAUCUGACAAGUAACUAGAAUUUCUUUUCUUAUAUCCGUUAAAAGGUAUUUCACUCGGCAGCAUGUAAAAUAAAACAGCUUAUAACUGAAACUGAACGGCUUAAAUUCAUUUAUUAAAAUAUAGAGUCCACUCACCGGUAGUCCGAGCUCGCUGGACCUCUUGAAGGUCCCUUCUAUGGGUCAACUGGUGCCCGGGUGCCUGAUUCAAUGACCAUAAUAUACUAUUAAUACAAUAUAGUGUUAAUAUAAAAACUCUUACCCCCAGCUCCUAAAAGUACAUGCGUACAAUUAAAGUUAUCUCUAUACCCAUAAAAGCUUUCCUUCCAGUUUAGCAGUAUCUUGGGACUCAAAAAGCGUUAAAGUCCCAAAAAAUCAACCCGAGACCCCACGGGUCCAUGACCUCACAAUAUAAUCCGGAAGCCGCAAGAAGGUCCAAUAUAUCUAGGACACAUGUCCAGAGGGUAUUGGUCUCGAUCGGACGGUCAGAUUGAUCACGAUCGUGCAAUCGCAUAUUUUCCAAACCCUAGCUCUAGGGUUCGCGAUUUUGGAGUCCCUAGGACUCCGAUUCACAAUCCGUCGAAUCCUACACGAUUCUGAAAUUGUCUAGAGUAACAUAUCUGAAACUGGUUACGAUCCAACGGCUCAACCAUAUUGAACCCGGAAAUCGCACAAUAUGGAAAAUCCGUUCGAGGCUCAAACGGUAUCCAAAUUGAGAUCCGUGAAUUCCUACGCGCUCGUGACAACCUAAGGAUCGCAUCAAGACACAGUACCACUGCACUACCCUCGCCCACACGCCGCCGCACGCGCCGGCAGCGCUGGGUGUCCAAAGCGAUUAUGCAUCGCCGGAAAAUCUCGAAACCACGGCUCCAAACUCCUACCCUAGGUAUAACACCAUAUUUGGAACCACUUUUGUUCUUGGACCUACCCCAAAAACUGACCGAAAGUGGCCGAACAGGGAGGCCGAAAAUCAGCCAAAUUCCAAUUUGAAAACUGAGCUAUCUACGGUCAAAAUCGAUGCAAACCUACCCAACCAUCAGCUAGAGCAUGGAAAAUAGGUAGAAAUCCAUACCUUACUCGACAAAUUUGGAGAAGAAUUGAGGGAGAACGAGCGGUUGCAAAACUGUGAAAAACCAGCUCGAGUUUUACAGUUUCCGGCGGCUGGCAGCGGGCUGGGCGGGGCUUGAAGACGGAACCGAGCUGGUCCUUUUGGCACCGACGGCAAGGGCAGGGGUGGUCGGUGGCGAGAGUUCUGGCGAUUGGAAAGUGACGGGAAGGAGGACAGCGGGAGAGGGAGAGAGAGAGAGAGAGAGAGAGAGAGAGAGAGGAAAACUGAGGGAGAAGAGAGAGAGUGAGGGUUUUAAAAAUCUGAUUUUUCCUAAUUACCAUUUUGCCCCUCGUGAUAUUUUAACCGUAUUUUCUUCGUUAAAACUCCGAUUCGAGUCCACUUCAUGUCUGCGAACUCAUUUCGUCGUGCUCUACACAACGGUGUAUGUGGAAUUGUCAAAUUCCUUUUCGGUCAAAAAGUCAACUUUUCGUUAAGAAAUUAUUCCAAGGGCAAAAUUGUCUUUCCUCAUAAUAAAUUACUAAUUAAAUAUGAAUUUUAGGUUUGGGUUAUUACACUAUACUUGGAUGCGUGUUGGGUACAUGGGAUUGGUAGAAAGAGAUUAUGGAAUGGGAUUUGAGUUGUGGUUUAUAUUAAUUUUGAAGUGCUUUAGGCACUACCCUAUGUACCUUCCUGGUUUUGGAAUACAUGGAUUGGAUACUUGGAAACUUUUGGGAUACUUUGAUAUGUCGGAACCCGACCACCCUUGACAGGGUGUUUCGUAGACCCUUAGCAGGAUUAGUCUGCAAGCGUAGGACUUGUCACAGGCGUACAAGUAUUGAAGAUUCUGUUGUACAUGUUGGUGAGCCAGUCCCCCGGUUGGACAACUCAUUCCCUAGCCACAUGGUCAAUUGAGGAUUCUUCUAUAUGGUCUAGCCAAACAAUCCCCCGGUUAGAUUAUUUCCUCAGUACAAGUUUGGUAGUGGUCAUACUUAUGUAUAUAUAAAAAAUUUAUAUAUAUACACACAUAUACUUUCGUUCUUGUUUAUCAAUGAGGAUUCUUUCUUGCUUGUGGUGCCAACGGGCACGCGUUUUGGGUGAGAGUAGUUUGGGGAAAAUGGGUAAGGUUUUGAGUGGGAUGGGUAUUACUAUACCAUUAUGAGAUAUGGAUUUCACUUUGGUUUUGAUUUAGCUAUAUAUAUAUAUAUCGGUUUUGAAUGCAUAUCCCUUUUAGAAUCGUUUUCCAAAUGGUGGGGUUAGUAUGUUGUUUUUAACUAUGUAAAAACUUUAUUUUUGUCCACUCACAAAUUUUCUGUUUUGCUCCCACAAGGCAGUAGUUGAGCUGAGUCGAGCGACUAAGCCGAGUCUUGUACUUCCGAGCCCCAAGUUUCUGUAGGACAAUGUUUACUUGUUUUUAAUUCUAUUGAACUCGUUUCAUUGUAAACUGAAUUUCUUUUGAUAUGCUUGGUUAUCGCCCAUGCUAGGGUUGGAUGUAAGGUCAGAGGCCUAUUAUGUAAAUUGCAUGAUUUUUCAUUGUGCAUGCUGUUGUUGGGAUUUUAUUACUUUGUUUUUUACAAGUUAAAAAUUUGGGAAAGUUUGUUUUUCAAGAGAGACUCUACCGAAAUUUUAACAAAAUGUCUAAUUCCUCUUUUCGUUAAUUUGGAAAAGAAGCUAUAAUGUUAGUAAGUGGACCCGGCAUCAGUUUCAUGUCCGAAAUACCACAGGAUUCGCCACGGAUUUCAAGGAAAUUCAGGGCGGGUCUUGUCAAUUGGUUCCAUAAAUACAAAUAUCCUGGUAGUAGAAAAUAAAUCCGGCGAUCUUACAAUAAAUAGUCGUGAUUUUUGUUUGUGCAAAUAAUCUCACGGGAGAAUAUUCUCUUCUAGAUUCUUCAACCUUCGAUCUUCCUUCUCCCUCUUCCUCGAUUCCUGUAAAAAAGACUAGAGUAAAUAGACCACACCCGGGGGGUGUUGGCCAAAGGCCCUCCGAUGCCUAAGUUCGUUCGAGUGUUUGUAGGAAAACAAUAGCUAAGCAAAGGGUACGGAGUUGUAUGUAGGGUGUAAACCGGGUGGCCGGAGCCAUGUGUGGUGGCCGGAGCUGUGUAGAGAAAAUAUGGAGAGUGGAGAGGGAGAGAGAGCUUCGGGUAUUUUUCUCGGGUAUAAGGAGUAGGUUUAGAUGUACCUUGAAUGAUGAAUGAGGUCGUCUAUUUAUAGGAGCCUUGGGGCUAAGGUUUCGUAGGGAUCGAGUCGGACCUGAUAAUAUCCGAAUUAAAUAUAUUAUCGCUUAAGAAGAUAAUAUCUAAAUUAAAUGAUAUUAUCUUCUCUUUAUUAGGAUAAUAUCUUAAUUAAUGAUAUUAUCUCUUUAAAUAAAGAUAAUAUCAUAUUAAUUAAGAUAUUUAUCCCAAUUAAUUAAUUAGCUAGAUAAACUGGUUUAAUUAAUUAAUUUAAGAGAUAAUCUUCUUUUCCACGUGGCGUGCCUUGAUUGGAGAUGAAAAUAUAUGCUCCCACAAUUUCCAACUAAAGUAAGUCUGACUUCACUUUCCAGCUUUCAUGGUCAUUAAAGUUAUUUGGAGCCGAGUUACCAACAGUGAGGAGUCAUUCUGACAUACCUUAACAUCUAAGAAAUUAUAAACUUUGGGCUAAACUAAUUCAAAUAAUUUUGACCCUUGGAUUAAAUCACCGUUGAUUAUCAAAAUAAUGUGAAUUUAUUUUAAUUUGAUCCCCCUUUGUUUGAAUAGUAUGGGCCAUUCACCACUUUUGGUAAAUAAAGCCCAAUACCUUUUUGAAAAGUGAACCCAAUGCUUAUUUCGGGAUGGUGCACAUAUUUCAGGCCCAAACAGUACCCCUAAGUCUGAAUAUCGUCUCUAAAAAACGAUUUCAUACUUAAUGAUUGGCCUGCCUUCUAUUGAUGUGCGCCCUUUUGAUCUAUUUGCUCCUGCCCACGUCUGUUCAUUGAUUGGACAUUUUGGAAAAGUGGGUAUUAACGAUUAGUUAAUUGGGAGACUUUGGAAAAGCCCAAAGGAGAGAGAAAAUUUUUAAAAGAAGCAAAAAUGGACAAAAUUGCCCUUAUUUAUUUUUUGAUUUCCUAAGAAAUCCUUUACAUUUGCAUGUCUGUGGUUUGAAAGUUGAGAGGUUAUUCCGUCUUUUUUGAAAAAGCUUUGGCUUUUUCCAAAAGUGAAAGUUUUUUUAUGGGUAAAACCUAAAUUUACUUAGUUAAUUCUUGGCAACUCUUCUUCUCCCACUAUCUGUCUUCUUUAGAGUAUAAAGCUGCAACCUACUUUACUCUUUUAAAACCAUCAUUAACCCCGAGUUCUUCAAUUUGUAGAGUAUUUCCAAUCUUUGAAAUUUCAAAUUUCAAUGAAAAAUUCAAGCAUUUCCCUAAUUCUGCCUGAAUAUUCUCGAUGGCUUCUCCCAAAACCCGUGCUAGUAGUUCUUCCUCCUUCCCUCCACCUUAUAUUUCAGGCGAAGGUGUUGAUACACAUGCCAUUGAGAUUCGAAGCAAACUCCGUUCAUAUUCCAAGAAGAAUUUGAAUGAAAAUAUCCUACAUUUGCACGGGAAUGCUAUCAUUAUGGGUUCUGCCUAGUUUGGGAAAGUUUUUGAGGAAAUGGCCAAACUUUUUAAGGCAGAUGCUGAAGCUCUGUUUUGCUAUUGUAAUCCUUCUCUAAUAUUCCAUUCCUCGGUUAGCAAGAAUCUAAGCAGAUCAUACCAUUCUAAUGAAGUGAGGAAUAGCUCUAUGAAGUGGUCAUAAUAGUUUGGCCGACUCUCUCCAAGGUAUGAAGGCCAUUGGAAGAAAGCUAGCAUAUAUGAUGCUUUGCUUCUGUCUAAGCAUUCAAUUAAUAGAUAUGAGAAUCUCUUUGCUGCUUCUUUAUGUUUUUGGAAUUCUGCUACAAACACUUUUGACUUUCGUGUUAGCCCUAUGCCUCCAACUCUGCUCGAUAUGGCUCAAAUAUUUGGAUUUAGGCCACAUGAAAGGCCUGCUGAUGCAUUUGGAGAUUAUCACAGAAGGAAAAAUGGUGAAAGAGUAGCUAAAACGAAGCCUUGCCAUUCUUGCCAACGGAAUACCACUUUCCAACAAUUAUUGAGGCCAAUGGCCUUUAAUCUCCUGUUAAUUUAAUCGGAGUCUCCUCCAUGCUUCUCUGAUUUCUCUUUUUCAAAAUGUCGAUCAUUAUCCAAUAGAGCUAUCUGUUUGCCCCUGAAAGUGGAUUUUUCAAGCAAAAAUUGUGCCAUUGCCUAAACGUGUGGCAACUCAAUCCUGUUAAAAACACUGGAUUUUGGUAUGUCCUGUAAUUGUGCUUGCAUAAUCCUGCUGAUGAUACUUGAUUCUUGCCCCUACUAUACUGGAUGGAUUUAUUUAGAUGGAUUGGAUAGCCUUGUUAAGGCACUAUCCUUCUUCUAUGGUUUAAUAUCUGCAUUUUUAUGGUUAUCUCUGGCUCAUUCACACCUUAUAUUUACAAUAAACAACAAUUCCAGACAUAACAGUUGCCUUUGAUCUAAUCAAAGUUUCCUUGAUAACCCUCCUAUUUUGACAGGGACCUAUCUCCACAGUUGCCUUUGACUGAGAGCGUUUUUGCAUAUCCAUGAGUUAAAAACGAAGAGCAAAUUUACUGGCCAUACUGGAUUGUGAGAAGUGGCUUUGGAGACACUCUUAGAGAGGUGCAGCCGACAGUGAGAGAGAGAAUGGACUCAAAGAGUAUACUGGUGAUGUAGCUGACAAUGAGUUGGUCUUGUUGGUACCACUGAGCACGGGCAGGAUUGGUUUGGGUAAGAGAGAUGGUGGUGAUUGUGGGUGUUACGGUGGUAGAAGUGGAGGUUUGAGCAGAAGGUUGUUUAUGAGUGCCUUCGAUAAAUUUUCAGAGGUCAUGACCGACUCAAAAGAGUUUGAGUUGGCAGAGCCAAAGGAGGUAGUUGGAGUCAGUAAGCUUGAUAAAAUAAGAACAGUUGGGGUUAGGGAAGGAGAUGGUGGAUUCAGACGAAGCCAUGAGGUGGACCUAAAGGAAACGAUUGGAUCGAAUAAGGGAGAGGGAGGAAACCCUAGGUAAGGCUGAUAUCAUGUAGAGAAUAUAUUUUCUUGUAUUAAACAGAAUACACAAAGUCCCUAUUUAUACUGAUACAGGAAAUCAACUUAGGAUAGGAAAUAAUAUAGACAUGAAUACAAUCCCAUUUACAGCAGGAAAAGCUAAUUGCUAGGAGGAGAUUGUGAAGUUGACUUCCGUGUGUACUAGGAAAGGAAAGCUGCGUUAACAUCUUUCUUUGGCCAAUUUAGAUUUACCAUAUUGACUUGAGUUUUGGGAAAAGGGAUUGUAUCAAUAGUGGGGACCUUCUUUGCUAUUUUCAACUUUCUUGAGGCUAAUGCUUCUUAGACAACAUCCCUUAAAACAACACAGCUAUUGGUAGUGUGAUUCAAAGAAUAUUAUGCCACUUGCAAUACUGUCUUCCCUUCAAUUCUUCUGACUUUGGCAACCUGUGUCUAGGUGGUGUAUCUAUAGCCUUCUGAGAUAACAUUUCAUCAAACAAACCGUCUAACUUUGAUAAAUCAAAAGAAUAAACCUUGUUUGUUGGCUGUUUAUUUGGAAUGAAACCUCCAGUGAAGGGUGGUGGUUUUUGAUCCUUUGGUGCCUUUAGCAAAACUUUACAACUUAUUGUCCCUUUAUUUUAGCCAUUUUUGCCACCACUGCCAUAGUUUCCUCUGGUUCUAGCUCCUUUUCUUAUUCUACCUGCACCAAAUGUAUUGAAGAUGAAGGGGUCUUGUAGUAUGUACAUUUAGAAGCAUUCCUCUUCUGUUGUUAUUCCUUCAAUAAUUCUUCAUAUUUGGUGACCUUAUCCGCCAGUUCUGCUAAGUCUCCAAAUAUUAUUCCAUUGAACCUUUUUCUCAAGGAGAUCCUCAAUGAUGUCUGUCCCAUCUGGAUAAAGUGCCUCUCAUAUAUAGGAAUUCUAAACUUCAUUUUCAGCUUUCUGAACCUAGUAAUAAAGUCAUGAGCUGCCUCAUUCUCACUCAGCUUCAGUACAGUCCUCAGGCUAGAUUCUGUACUAGUAAUCAUGGAAAGCAGUGCUUAGCCUUUUUGCAUAAUACAGUGGAUUAGGAUAAGAAAAAUAGGAUUCCUAUGGAAGAACUUCUUUUGGGGGGGGGGGGGGGGGGGGGGGGGGUUUUCCCUUUGGGUUUCCAAAAAAUUAAAAAAAAUUUUUUUAAGGGCCCCCCUUCUUAGAAAUUUUUGGGAAUUUUUUACUCCGUUAAAAAUUGAGAAACCUUCCAGCAACCUUCUUUUUUUUUUUUNNNNNNNNNNNNNNNNNNNNNNNNNNNNNNNNNNNNNNNNNNNNNNNNNNNNNNNNNNNNNNNNNNNNNNNNNNNNNNNNNNNNNNNNNNNNNNNNNNNNAAAGAAACUUGAAUUUUUCAAUCCAUCUGUUUUUGUUAUCCAAAGCAAAAACAAAAAGUACUUGUUUGCUCUUCCCUUUUCCAUUUACUUGUUGUGUAUUUUCAGACUCCAUUUGAGUGCAGCUAUGAAUUUUAUCAUGUCAAUCAUAAAAUACAGCAUAAAAAAUAUCAAAAAAUGUACAUCAUCAACCAUAGAUUAAACAUGACACAUCUUAUGUUGAAUGGAAAAGGACGCAGUAGGAAUUUACAGAUUUGGCAUCCGAACUCUGAUUGGCGUGUAUGAUACCUUUCUGAAAAGGAAACAAUGCUACGAGUCAAACACACUGCUUUGCUAUGACGUAUGGUGGAUUUUGGGCUUUUGAGGUCGUUUAGGCUUCCAAAACAGCAUUUAAAAGUUGAAAUUUUUGGAUUUUCGUUUUUUUAAUGUUCAUUUAUAUUUGUCUCAGUAUUUUUGUUCGAUUAUAGAAAGGUUGUCAAUUAUUUCAAUUUUCUAUCUAGUCGUAUAUAGAUAUUUCAAAAGAAAAAGUAGUAACAAGCAUAAACCCUAGUAAACAAGCAUAAACCCUAGUAACAAGUAUAAGCCUAAUAACAAGAAAAACACGAUGAAGAAAAAAUCAUGGAAAAAGAAAACCCAACAAGGUAUGGAUCAAAGAAAAAAUAGGGAGCAUACCUUCACAGAUGAAGGAAUGAAGAUGUUCAUCUUCGCAGAUAGAAAAGCUAGGGCAAGAGAAAAACGUAUGAUGAAAUACUUGGGAGGGAGGUUGGAUUAUUUUGGUCUUUGUUAUUUAUAACUCUCCCCUUAAAACCUUCCAAAUAUAUCACCUUUCGAAUACACCUAGAUUUGAUUCAACUUUUUUAUAAUCCUAAUUGAAUACACCCAUAUUUGAAUAGACAUUUUAAAAGUUCAUAUAAGUCCGAAUUGAAUACACCCAGACUUGUAAAACCUCUUUUAAAAUUUUGUAUAAAUCCAAAUUGAAUACACUCGGAUUUUUAAAAUCUUUUUAAACGCUUUAUAAUCCUAAUUGAAAACACUCUAUUGGGAUUGUCAUUGCAGCUGCCAUUGGAUUCUAUCAAGCCUAAAUACAUGAUUAAAUAAACUUACAAAAUUUAGAGAAUCUUUCUAUCUUUGCGUGUCUAUUGAGACCGGUUAAGUGUGAACUACUAGGGACUGAAACAUAUUUGUACUUUUUAUCCUCUAAUUGAUCUUUUCCAUGUUUAAUGUUCUCACUUAGAAUUGAAUUUAGAUGGAUAACCUUUAUUUGGAUAAUAUCCAACCCAUACAAGUGAGACAUUUAGUAUAAAAGUUCCAAUAUUUGAAAUUUCCAAGCAAUCUUGUCCAAUUACUUCUGAUAUAAGCCGUCUUUAACAUUAUAUUGGGCAGAAAAUCAGAAUAUUUGGCCAUCUUCAACUUUGUGAGAUGUUCAAAUUUGGUCUACUUCCAGAUUCUAUUUUUGUAUGAAGCAACAAGCUACAAUUAGAUAAUAACUUACUGAAAAAUGAGACAAUAAAGUGGAUGAGGAAUCAAAAUAUAUCAUUACAUUUUCUCAUGUUUCCUGCAGAAUAAAACAUUUAGAAUUGUACAUGGCUUAAAAGACAAAUCUUCUUGUCAUCCAGUUCAAAAUUGGAGUUAUGAUUUUGGGCUCAAUAGUCUUCGAAUCGAGAGUUCAUGAUAUCGUCAUUCGACUGCUUCACAAAUUUUGUAUCUUCGUGCUCAGCUCACAAGCACUUUGACCAUCAAAGAAGGCUUCCCAGAUUCAUAAGCAACAGAAAAAUGUGCAUAUGAUCAAUCACAGCCUCUACUUCAUCUUGACACGGCGAGUUCUUCUGAUCGAACUGAGGCUGAUUUGGAUAUGAACCAGAUUCACUUCAUUUGCGUUCAUUCAUACACUUAAGCUGCAAGUGAGAUGAAUGAAGGUUUCAUCACUGCAGGGGAUUGUGAUACCACCCAUUGGAUGAUCAUAUCCAAAUUCUUCUUCUGCUUGACUUAGCAAAUCCAAGAACAAAGGCUCAUUCAAGUAUGAUAUUGGAACCACAAAUCGCUUCUUCUGGCUCCCCCCAACAUACACUGCAAAGUAGCCUUUUGGGAUGUCUACGGUGUUUGAAGUAGCAGCCUUGUUUAGACCCUUCUUGGAGUUAACAAUUCCUGGCAAUCGGAAUCCCAUGGUUUUUAUAUUCUCAAGUGGAAAAUUUGAACAAGAAAGAAUUCAGAGGACUUGGGAAACAGAGAAGACUUUGAUGCUUGGCAAGGAGAGAGACUUGAGUUGUUGGUUAUGAACCUGAUCUCUUGUGUAUAUAUAGAUGAAAGAGUAUCGCCUUCUACAUGAAAUGAGUGGUCUCGAGGCGCAGAGAUUUGCCCCAGUGAAGGAUAAUAGCUUGUGAGAAAUCAAAACAUAACAUGGGUUGUCUUCCCACUCACAUAAAUCAUCUCCACAUGCAAUGACAAAACUGUAUCCCUCUGUACAAACAUCAUUCCCCACGUCUUAUUUCAUCGAGUAAUUUGUUGUGGUCUAAAGAUUGCUAAUGUGUUCCUGUCAAGAGACUAUGGACAGAUAUGUCUUAACCCUGUUUUGUACUUCAAAGAAGUCUUUUCUAUCCACAUAUAAAGAGUUUGUAGGUGUCACAAAAAAAAUUGUUGGGCAUCAUGUUCUCCAACAAACGUACAGACGUAAUAACUACCAAGUUCUUGAGAAUGAGAUGGAAAACAGACCAUGUGAUCCCUCAAAUUCUCAUGCCUCUUUCCAAUCCCCACCCAAUUGUCCCCAUUUCAGAUAUUUUCCUCUACACACCCUUUCAUCUAUACGUAGACACACACAUACACACAGAUGAUCCCAUAAACAAUUGAAAUCCUGAGUCUUUACAAACAUGAAAUCUAAUGAGACGUGAUCCUAAAAUGAUUUAGUUUCCUGUUUUAUUUGUAUUUAUUUCAUAGAUUUGCUGUAUAUAUUCCUUAUCUCUCAAGGACUUGAUUCUUGCCUAGAAUAGGAAAUCCUUUGUGUAGACACCAAGCAAAGCAUUGUAUAUAAUUAUCACAUGAUUGUUCAAUGAAAAUCAUCGAGAAUAUUCAAAACCUUUCAUGGUAUCAAGAGCCUGAGACUCACAGUCCUCGAUCCUCAAUUUUCUUGUUCCCUGUCUUUUUUUUUUUUUUGUUGGCACCAUGGCUUCUUCCUCGUCUAUUGAUUUUCCUAGCGUUCAUCAUGUUAUCUCCAUUCGUCUCAAGUGUGAUAAUUAUCUGACGUGGCUUGCUCAAAUUGUUCCUAUCCUUCGCAUCUGCCGCUUGCUCAGCUUUGUUGACGGCACUUCUCUGUGUCCUCCGACCAUUCCUGACCCAAAUGCUAAGGCCGAUGAAUCUACUUUUCUGUCUCUCCUCCCCAACCCAGAGUAUGAUGAUUGGGUCCAGAAAUAUCAGCUUGUUUUCUCUCUCUCAUCAACGGUUCCUUUCACCAUGAAGUUCUCACCACCGUAGCUUCCAAGACCAUCGCUGUGACACUUGGGUAGCCCUUGAAACUCAUUUUGCUUCUCCGAAUCAGAAUCGUCUUCUUCAACUUCACAGUAACUUGCUUUGCACAACCUGUUGUGAAUCUUCCAUCACUGAUUUCCUUGAUCGUAUUAACUCGAUUGACGAUAACUUGGCUCUGGCAGGUGCUUUAGUUGCUGACUCUGAUCUCCUUGUGAUGGUUAUGAACAACGUUUGUCCUCUUUAUGAAAAUACCAUUGCCGCUACUCAAGCUCGUGAGAAACCCAUCAAUAUGCCUGAUCUUGAUGCUCUCCUCUUGUCUGCUGAACGUGGCCUGUAGUUAUCUUAUUCUCUGGUCAUGUAUUCUGGUGCGACAGCUAUGGAAGCUUCCCAUGGUGGUCUCGGUGGCUGUGAUUUUGGCGAUUGUGCUGGGUUUGCUGGUCAUAGUCCCGAUCUUCCCAACUCAUUCUCUCCCUCACGACUAGGUUUUACUUCUGGUCGCGGUUUCCCUGGCGCUUCCUAUGGCGCCUCUAGUCCUGCCUCACAUCAACAACAUUUUGGUAGCAAUAUCGAGCUGAGUGUUCUUGGCCCACCUCCUUCUGGCUCUACUGCUUCCUCUUUUGGGCUUCAUUCUGCCCCUAGGCCUCUUCAAUGUUUCAAUUGUCAUGGUUUUGGCCACAUCGCAGCUGUCUGUCCUUCCAAGACGUUUUCUGUGCCUUCUCCUCUGUCUCGUCUUCAAGACAUAACUGCUCAAUAUCCUUCACAUGGUGGCCAUCAACAGUGGGUUGAUGAUACCGAUGCAAACACUCAUAUUACCAAUGACCUGAGCUUCUUAUCCCUUGCUAAACAGUAUCAUGGUUCUGACAAUGUUGGAGGUGUGCUUGGUGGAACAGGUUCGCCUAUUAAAAAUAUUGGUCACUCUCGUUUCUCUCACCUUAAUUCUUCUUUUCAUCUUAAUGAUAUUGUUCAUUGUCUCGAUGCAUCUCUUCCUCUCUUACCUAUUCAUAAAUUUCCCACUAACAACCAUUGUUUCUUCACUUUUUUUCCUAAUUGUUAUUUUAUCCAGGAUUUGGGGACGAGGAGGACACUUUCUUGGGCAAGAGUAGUAAUGGCCUAUAUCCCUUUUCAUUUACACCGAAUGAGUUUUUUCAAGUUUUGCGUGAUCGUGUUGCUUUACUAGGUGUCUAUGUUGACCGCUCUGUGUGGCACUCUCGCCUUGGUCAUCCUGCUUCGUCUACUUUGCAAUUUUUGUUAUCUCAUAAUAAAUUGCCAUCUUCUGGCUCUGUCUAGUUCUUUUUGUCAGUCAUGUACGUUGGGUAAAAGUGUUAAAUUACCCUUUAGUCCUUUUUAUGUCCUUUCUUCUCCACUGAAACUUAUUCACUCUGAUGUAUGGAGUUCUUCAAAUAAAUCUAUUUCUUAUUUUAAUUAUUAUGUUUUAUAUGUUGAUGAUUUUUGUCGUUAUUCUUGAAUUUUUCCAAUGAAAUUGAAAUCAUAAGUUUUCUCUCACUUCAUUAAAUUUAAGGCUUUGGUUGAAAAUAUGUUUUUCACUACGAUUAAGGCAUUUCAAUCAGAUGGGGGUGGGGAAUACACUAGUCAUCAAUUUAAGAAUUUUUUAUCUCAUCAUGGCAUUCAUCAUCGUCUUUCUUGUCCACAUCAUCCUGAGUAAAAUGGUUUAGCCGAACGUAAGCAUCGUCACAUUGUUGACACCGGGCUCACUCUUUUAGCCAAUGCCUUUAUGCCUCCUUCCUAUUGGGCUGAGGCCAAGCACACCACUGUUUAUUUAAUUUACCGUCUUUCUUCUAAGUUGCUUCAGUAUAAAUCACCCUAUGAAUUAUUGUUUCACAAAGAACAUAAUUAUUCGUUUUUAAAACCUUUUGGGUGUGCAUGUUUUCCUUAUUUACGGCCAUAUAAUAAUAAUAAAUUACAAUUUCGGUCUUCCAAAUGUGUGUUACUUGGUUAUUCUUUGAACCCUCAAGGUUAUCGAUGCUUGGAUCUUGUUUCUAAUCAUGUUUUUUUAUCGCGUCAUGUGUUAUUUGAUGAAGUUUCUUUUCUGUUUAACAAGGCACAUGCUGCUACUACUCCAGACCAUUCUCCGUCAUCAGACCUGCCUGUCAUCCUCUCUGGCCCAAGUUUAUCUUCAUGCAGCCCAUGCCUUCCAGUGUCGUAUUCUCUGCCUAGUCUCCCUUCUUUGGUGCCAAAAUUAGGAAGCGGAGAGUGAGAACUCACACACACGGGUACCAUGGGAGCUUGAACCCAAGACCUCUUGAGAGCACACCAAAAGCCUAGGAAAAUCCACCUAACACCCCAUUAGUCGACAGUAAAUAGUUCAAUUGCAUAAAAAGAAAACAAGAAGACUUAAUGGAUAUGAAAAAUAGUUUUUCCAACAUAUUUCUUCCCUCGUAUAAGUACAUUAAAAAUUGAACAAAUGAGAUUCCAAAUUGGUUGUCGUCAUCUUUUAGAUCCUUUUUCUAUCUCUUCAACCGUUGGGAGGGUUUUUUUAUUUAAAUUAUUUUUUUGUCAAAAAUGAUUGCUAAUUAAUUACAGUUUUACUUUUUCUUUUUUGCUUUUGUAAUGAAUAAAGAGUACAAAUGAAACAUCGUCAAAAUUGCUUGACAAAGUGGGCUGUCGUUUAAAAAAAAUGUAGAUUACAAGUUUAAUGGACAAGCAAUUUGUGAUCUAUAAAGAUGUUGCUUCCUAUUGCUUUCACCAUUAUUUCCACCAAAGUAAAAUUUAUAGCUGAAAGUUAGAUCAGUUUCGUACACAUAGUAGAUCCAAAAUGUUACUACCAAAAAGGCUUCAGUUUUAACUUGCUACACUUUGCCUACCACUGGAAAUAUCCAAUUCGGAGUGCAUGAGGGUAAAAUUGAGUGUCAUUAUUGGUAGUGAAAUACUUUGUGAUUAGGAAAUAUAUCUUGACAAUUUGAUUAUAACAAAUGAAUAGAAAAAAAAUUAGAAAUACCUGCAUAUAUAGUUAUGGAACAGUUAGAGAUUGAAAUUUCAACCGGCCAGCAAGAAAGGAAAAGGGAGAGAAUCCCAAAAACAAUAGAAAUGUGUGGCAUGGGAGGAGCCCCUAUUAUGUCACCUCCUUAGUUUUCAAUUAAGAAAACGUAGUGAAAAUAUGAGAAUCCUUCCCAGCCACACAUCUCCAUUGGCCUCUGGGAGGCCUAUCUCCCAUUUCAAGUCAGCCAAUUCUAAGAGUGUAUUAUGCUCUCAAGAUUUAGAGCCCAUUAUUUAUAGGGAAGCCAAGGGUACAUAAGUUCAAAAAAUAACCUAUAGUGCCCAUGGUUUCCAUAUGGUGAGGAAUCUAUGCGCCAUCGUAGUUGUUUCACCACAUGUUUUGACAAUUUUCGUGAGGAAGCGAAAAGGAAAAUUGGGUUGGUAUUCUUGCAUGCUUCCCACACGUCGUAAAAUAAAUUCUUGAUAUACCUAUUAAACCAUUUCUUUUAUCAGUUCACGUGAUGAACACGAUGAGAGAGAUAAAGAGAAACCGGCCGGUUACAUCUGACACCUAUGAACAGAAAAGAAUCCAAAACCGUGAUAGGUUGGUGAAGGGAAGUGAUGUUUUUGGUUUUCCAAAAUUGGAUUUUGGAUUUUGGGGAUAUUAGUACCAGUUUUUGAGCCACUAAAUAAUUCGAUUGCAUAAUCAAACUUAAAACAAAAGUUACAGGUAUGUUAGAUAUGAAAUAUAAUUCAAUUGCCUUCUACUUGAUUAUGAUCUUCCUCGCUGGACUAUGAAUGCUAUUGGGCUUCUAAUUUGUUGCUCCAAAAACCCAUUUACCGCAACGGGCCAUUCAUCGGGCCUCCAUAAAUUCAGGUCCAAUCAACAUUUAUAUGGAGAUGAAUGCUAGAUUGGAAAAUCCAUGAAAUCUGCAGUAUGUGGUGGUGUAGAGGCUAUAUGCUGUGGUGGGGAUGAAUGGGGAGACAUAUGCAUAUGAAGGAUCACAUGGUUCUGUCUUCCACAUCAUCAAGAAUUUGGCAAUGAUUGAGACUUCAUAUCUGUUGGAUUGUGUUUUAGUUUUAAAUCUGAAGUCCUUGCUAGGACAGGAAGCUAGACAAGUUGCUGACUCUAAUAUAUCUUUAUAACGGUAUGUAAAUAUUUUUGUAGUUUGUCAAAAAUAAAAAAAUCUUGUCAUGCACCUAUCAAUAAUACAUUGAGGUUUUUUUUCCCUCAGAUAAUUUGUUUUUCUAAGGGUUUUCAAAAAUCUAGUUUAUGCAAGCUGGAAUUAUGCAAAUAGACUUUGGCAAGAGAAAAUUAAUGUCAUAGCAUAUUGUCAUGAAACAAAUAUUUGUGUCAGGAGUUGAUUUGCAAGAAUGUGUUUCAUCAAAAUUUGAUAACUUAGGAUCAAUCAAGCAUUAAAAAUGCCACUGAAAUGGGCAUGAUAUUUCCCCAAUCUGUAUGAGGAACCAUGUAAAAAGUUAUAUGGUCAGCAUUUUAGUCAAAUUCUUGUGCAAAUCUGCUACCACUUGUGGGAUUAACUAUAUAACAAGGGCUACAAGAAGAUAAUACUAUAAUGCAAACCAUAAGACAAGAAAGGAUGAGGAUUUCAAAUAGAUUGUAUAUUGCUCCUGGAGAACAACAAAGAAGUUUACAUAGGUUCAAAAGACAGAAUUUGACUGCCUUUGGGUGGGGGAUGAUAUUUGGACCAAUGGUUCUAGGGAGUUCAUAAUAUCAUCACUUGUCUGCUUCAUAAAAGCUCAGCCUAGAAGCAGCUUCAGCAUUUGAGAAGGUUUGCUUUCACCAUAAGAUGUGAGUUGAUUCCAUGGAUGAGCAGUGGUAGCCUCUUCUUCAUCCCAACUCAGCGAGUUCUGAAAUGUGGAUGCUUUGGAUAUGAUCAUAUCCAAAUUCUUUCAUCUUGGCUCAGUGAGCUCUGAAAUGAGGAUGGUUUGGAUAGAUUGGAUGACCGAUUCGUGUACACUCACACACUUAAGCGGGAAGUGAGAUCAAGGAAGGUGUUUUCACUGCAGGGGAUUGUGAUACCUCCCAUGGGAUGAUCAUAUCCGAAUUCUUCUUCAGCUUGACUCAGCAAAUCCAGGAAUAAAGGCUCAUUCAAAUAUGAUAUCGGAAUCACAAACCGCUUCUUCUGGCUCUCCCCAACAUAGACUGCAAAGUUGCCUUUUGGGAUAUCUAAAGUCUUUGAAUCUGCUGUCUGGCUUGAACUAGAUAGAGAUCGAAUGAGACUUCUCUUUGCGUUAACAAUUGCAGGCAACCGGAAACCCAUGAUCUUAUAUAUUCUCAAAGGACAAAAGAAGAGAGGGAAUUCAAAGGACUUGGAUUUGGAAAGCAGAGAAAGCUUUGGUGCUUGAGAAGGUGAAGACUUGAGUUGCUCAUGAUGAACUUGGUCAUGUGUAUAUAUAGAUCAAGGGUAUCCAGAAAAUCAACAGCUACAUGAAAUUAUUGGUCUGAGAUGGGCUCCAAUGAGGGACACUUGAUUGUGAGAAAUCACAUGGGCUUGUCGUCCUUCUCACCCAACACAUCCUUGAAAGAUUUCUCACGGAACUCUUCCCUACCUCCUCUAGGUAACAGACAACAAAAGGACCACCAGAGGUGAUUCAAUCCAAAAGAAUUUUGUCUGUUAGGUAAGUAGCAUUUAUGCUUCAGACAUGCACUUCUCUUUGUUCACACUAAUUCAGCUGACCACAUAAUCGGACUAUUAUACUACAAAGUUUCUUGAAUAGGUCUGCUAAUGAAUUGCCCUCUCACUUCAUCAAAAGACCAACAACACUGCAUAUGUUGUGGUCCUACCCAACACUGAUACAAUUGUGUUGUGUGGUGCUAAAUAGCUUGCUUGGGAGCAGCAAGGCACCCUACAUGUGGCUUUGUAGUUUCGUCUCUGAUCUUCAGUCUCAGCAAACAAAGGAGUUAUUUAUUUCAUUUUGUUAGGCCAAUCUGGACUUAACCAGAAAACACUAUUGCAACUCGGUCUAAACUCAAUUUUUUUAAAAACCAUUUUCCAUUACAACUCUUGGUUUAACAAAACCAUUGCCAGUCUUGUUUUAGGUAAGUUCGGCGAAAAGCCUACUAGAGAAAUCUAGAAAAUUCUAGAGAGAAGGAGAAGCUAGGUUGAUAAUCUCUUCUUGCCUUUGCUUAUGUCAACAACUGAAGAAGCCAUGUAAACUUGGCUUGCACUCUCUAGCAUAGGGAAAGUCGUGCAUAUAUAUUGUGCCAUUUUUUUAAUGAAAGAAACUUAGUUGUUCGGCUCAGUGUCUCUCUAUAUUAACUCAUGAUGACUCUCCUCCUUAUUAUUCUUUCAGUCCAUUGAGAGAUGUUAAGCAUACUGUGCUUAAUAUAUUAUUAAAUUAUCAGAUACAGUCAUUUUGCCCCCAUGGAUAAAGGAAGUACAAAGUAAACCAUUAUACUUUCAUUUUCUGAAAAAUAUGCUGUCAGUGAUGAUUUUAUUUUAUGACAGAGCUACAAGUACAAUGAAAAAUAAGACAAGAAAGUGGAUCAGGAUUUAAAUUUGCAUUCCAAUAUAUUUUCCUGGAGAGUAACAAAGGUUACACAUGAGAAGAUCAUAGCAUCCAACCCAAAUGUGGAGAGCCCCAAGAUCUUUUAUACUACAAUGCACGUCUUUAAGUUCCGUAUGUACUCUCAAGAACAAUAGUUCAAAAUUUCGAUCAUGAUUUUGGACUAAAGUUUUUCAACGUCCAUAGUGUCUUCGUUUGUCGGAUUCAUGAACUUUUUAACUUUAUGCUCAGAUCACAAGCAGCUUCAGGCUUACAGAUUGCUUCCUCUCAGCACAAGAUGUAAGUCGACAGUGGACGAUCAAGAAUAGCCUCUUUCUCAUCAUUACUCAGUGAGUUCUGGAAUGAGGAUGCUUAUACAUGAAUGAAUUUGGAUCAUAGUUUCUUUUCUUUGGUGUGCACUCAUACACUUAAGCGGGAAGUGAGAUGAAGGAAGAUGUCUUCACUGCAGGGGAUUGUGAUACCACCCAUGGGAUGAUCAUAUCCAAAUUCUUCUUCAGCUUGACUCAGCAAAUCCCGGAACAAAGGCUUAUUCAAAUAUGAUAUUGGAAUCAAAAACCGUUUCUUUUGGCUCUCCCCAACAUAGACUGCAAAAUAGCCUUUUGGGAUAUCUAAGGUCUUUGAAUCAUCUGUCUGACUUGAACUAGAUAGAGAUCGAAUGAGACUUCUCUUGGCGUUAACAAUUCCAGGCAACCGGAAACCCAUGAUUUAGUACAUUCUCAAGAGGACAAGACGAGGAAAAAGAUUGGCAAGGACUUGGAAAAAACAGAGAGAGCUUUGAUGCGUGGGAAGGAUAGGACUUGAGUAGCUCAUGAUGAACCGAUCAUAGUAUAGAUAUACAUGAAAGGUAUGCAAAAAAAUCAUCAGGUACAUGAAAUGAUUUGUACUGAAGAGGAACUGAGAGGAGAAGCAAUGAGGGCCACUAGCUUGUACCAAAUCACAUGGGUUUGUUUUCGUGCUCAUGCAACCCUUCCGCAAGAGAUUUCUCAUGAAAAUGAUCACACUCUAUCCUUGUGUAGAAAAAGGAUACCCUACCUAGCUAGCUCCUCUGCUUAACAGACAACAAAAGGGACCACCAUGUUCUUGAAAAAUGAAUUCAUUGCUCCUCUGGUUAAUUAACAGUACUGCAUAUGGUAUGCCCUACAACAAAAACUUGUUAACUUGUGUGAUAAACUAGUAGUCCCUUUCUUUUUCAUCUUUUUAUAAAUGCUGCUUCAAAAGACAAGAAUUUGUGGUGCUAUGAGAAUAUACAUGGACCCUCGGAUGCUCUAUGAUUUGGUUGGUUGGGAGCACCAAACCACCCUUGCAUGUGGCUUUGUCCUUUCAUCUAUGAUCUUCAGGCCCAACAAGCAAGGGAAGUCUUUCAUUUGUUUGAAGAAUUGAUACUUAUUGAGAAUGCAGUAGGUAAUGAGUACAUAUCUAAAAAGCAUAUGAUAUCAAGAGAGUGCUAAUCUGUAGCAAUUGUAAAUGUAGGAUACAUACUUUUUACUUAAAGUUAAACAUAUGAAAAGAUGUUUUACUAAUCGAAUUAUUUGAUAUAGCAAAUGUAAAUUGAAAAAGAUGAAAACCAACAUUAAGUUCUCUUUGUAGGCGCUAGUAGAGUAAAACAUGCCAAUUCGUUGUAAGUGCAAGCCACAUCGCUUAUGCUUAUACUCAACAUGAAAUGAAUUGUUGACAUUACAAUUCGUGAAAUCUAUCUGUUGACUCUAGCGACGUCAGUAAUUUCAUCUAAAUUGUAGAAAUUUGUUAUAAAAACAAAGAAGAUUAUUGAACAACCUGAUUACCUAAAACCAAAUUAGAUUUUAGAAAAAUAUAGUAGAUACAUAAAACUUUAUUACCUAACAAAGAAAGAUGUCAAAUCUUUCAAAAACAUUUUCUUACAACCAAGGGAAAAAAUCCAAGAUUGAAUUGAUGAAAAUGACUUCGUUUGGACCACUCAAACCUUCUUUGCUAAUUACUCAGUUAGCUAGUUUGUUAAAGUAGAGAAGUUACCUAGUAUAUCUCCAACAAAAAUAGUCAUAUUGUAAAGCCUGUUAUGUAACUAAGGGAAUUGUGGAGAGAAUAUAGAGAAAACAAGUAGCAAUAGAAAGGCUCUUCAUCUGCUUGUAUUAAAGUUUACUUUGUAUCCAUUACAAUUGAGAAGGUAGCCUUGUUUAUAGGCCAAGCCUUGGCUAACAACCAGAGAAAGAAGGCUCAUGGAAGGUGUAAGCAAAUAACGUUCCAACUUGUGGGCUCCACUUGCAGACUUUUACAACACUCUCUCUUGGAUACCACAAUGUAUGGAAUCUGUCUCGUUAAAAACCUUGCCAAUAAAAUUUAGUGGGACAAAAAAUGGUCCAAAGGGAAAAAGAGCGCAUAAUCAUGUGUAACAUAAAAUUAUGUAUAUAUAACACUGACACGCGUGCGACACUGCCUCGUUAAAACCUUGCCAGGUAAAACUCAGUGGGACAAAAAAGAAAAAACUAGAUGAAGGAAAAAGAGUACAAUGUGUGAAAAUCUUAUUGAUGGCACGCUCCCCCUGAUGCUGACAAAAUAUCUUUAAGUCAUGAUGUUGACAAUCUUUCUGAAUGUCGUAGUUGAACACUGCUUCCAUGAAUCAAUCUUGUAAUACUGGUGGAUGCUACCCCUAAAGAAUUACUCCCCUUGAUGUCUUCUUUGAUGAUCCAACACAAAUGAUAUUGAUAUCACAUUUGUACUUCACAAACUGAUCUUUGGUAAUGCUUGUAGAAAACUUGUUGUUGUAACAUCUCUGGAGGAUCCCUGUGUGUCGUCAUUCAUCUAAUUCUUAUUGAGGUUAGAGUAAUACAGAAAAAUAUCUAGGCUAUUUUCAUAAGACUUUCACUGUACACAAUGGUUUGAAUUUCAUAUGUUUUCCAAUAUAAAAAACAAUAAGCUCAUAUUUAUAAUGAUAAGAGCAUUAAAUAUUUAUAUGGUGUUGUUUACCCUUUUUGUAUUUGAGUAUGUUGAAGCCUAAAUAAAAUUCCCCAUUAAUUUUUUAAACACUUAAUGGUUUCUUGAGUAACUUUCUUGCCACUAUUAGCAGAUAAUACCCUAACAGAUUUGAACAACUUUAUAUACUUGCACCCCAAGUAAUAGACUUUAAACAAACAAUUGUGAUUUUGGAUGGGGAAACCUCCCAAGAGAGUUCUUUUCUAUGCCUCAGACUUGUGACGACUUCACAAUUUAUUAAGACAAAAAUGGUAAGCAAAGCAAAAUACACAAAUUUAUGAAGGGUAUAACAGACUAAUCCAAGCAAAACUACUUGAAGCACAAAGUAACAAAUGAAUCUUUAAAUCUACGUACUUCUCAAAGGGGUUGGACUUUGACUUAUGUUUGAAAACAUAGUCGCAAUGAUGACUUGUGAUUAGACUGGACUGAACUUUUGUUGACUAGAUUGAAUGUUUCUGCACUGGAAUUUCAUGUCAGCACCUUCAACUAAUAGAGAUUAGCUAGAAAUCGAUACCAAGUUUGAAGUUUGGCAGAGCUAUAAACAAGUUAAACCUUGAAUAGGCUAUGGAAGUGAUCAAAACUGCAAACGAGUACCUAUUCUUGUUGAUUCUGAGUGAUUUUAAAGCUAUCUAGACAAUUUUAAGACAUUAAGAUGUAUUUGAAAAGCUUGUUGAGGAUUUUGUAUGAUGAAAUACCUGACUUCUUCUUGUUUUAUCUAAUUUGAUGAACCAAAUUUGUCAGAGGAAUUAAUCUCGUUUGAAUUCUGUUUGAUUUACCUUAUCUGGAUUACAAGGGCAAUCUUGGUUUCUUCUUGGUUUUCUGAACUUCUUUUUGAGCUGGAUUGCUUGUUAAGGAAGAUUGCUUGCUUGCUUUUGGUAGUUGUAAGAUCAUAUGAUCUUUGAUUUCUUUUUAUCAAUCUGGAGUUAUUGUUGAGUUUUUCCUUAAUUUGUUGGUUAUUUGUCCCUUCUCCUGUCCAGACACUUUUGUAUUUAUAGGAGAAAAAUGAUGUUGAAGAAAUCUGGAAUUUUUAGUUUUGGACUAUCCUCCAUUUAAUGCACAAGUGGCAAAAGUUUUGUUAGUUAAUGCAUUGAUCGUUUUUGGCACCUGCUCAUUAAUGUUCUUGAAUGUCUCCUGAUCGUUCCUUUUGGAACAACUAAGCUGAAGUGAGCAAUAAUGCCCAAAUUCCUCCAACGUUGGUGUAACACCCGGAUCCAAUUUUAACUUCUCAUUCAAAUUAUUUAAUUUAUUUAAUUGUGAAAUUACAAUUUUACCCUUAGGGCAGGGUUAUUUUGGUCAGUUUUUAAUCCGAUAGGAUUUUGGGGAAUUGAAUGGCACCAUUACUUAGAGUGCAUCGAUACGAGUUCAUAGACAUUCAGUGGGAUCAAAUAAGAGUUUUAACAAAGAAGUUACGAUCAACGGAAGUGCAAUGGCACCACCGUAAAUAUUUCAAAAUUUGAAAUUGAAACACUAGAUUCUCUCUCUCAAUCUCUCCCUCAUGAAUCUCUCUCUCCUCUGUUGGGAGCACCACAACCCCGUCGUCUUCUAACGAUGAUUCCGGCGUCAUCCUUCCUCUCCUGCUACGAAACUGGUUACAAUUUUUUUUCAUCUCUCUCUCCUCUUUACAUCCAUACCAAUUUCCAACCUCAAUUCCAAGGGAUUAAGCCAAAAAUUCGAACGAAAACCCAACUCAAACUGGCCUGUCAAAAACCAUGACUUUCGGCGUUUGUUCCGGCCAACUUCACCGAUCACCAGGUGGGUUCCAAAACACUCCCGUGCCUCCCCUCUGUAAUUUUCCUCGAAGACCCGACUUGAUUUCAACCCGAAACCAUCGAAUUGAAACCUAGAAGGUGUUUCAACGAGAAAACCAACUGUUCGAGGGCUUUAGCGGCUGAAUUGAUCUUCAAGCAAAGGUAUAAAGUUACUCCCCUUGAUGUGUUUGAUCUUUUGAUAUGAUUAUUGGCCAGCGGUUUGGAGUUUUUCGAUCGCCGGAAAUUUUUUCAAGACACCCGUAGGCAGUGGUGGCUCGUCAGUGGGGUAUCAAGGUUGGGUUUUGAAGCUAGAAUGUUCCCCAUGUCGUCCCAAGCACGAUAGUAUGCUCAAAUUUGAAUUUGGUUGUUGUUUGACGGUCGAUCAAAUUUACACAUAUUAGGCGUCUUCCGUGUUCGAUAUGUUCAGACCGUUGGAUCAACUCCAUUUCCAACUAUGCUGGUCUAGAUACCUCUCAGAUCAUGUAGGAACUACGAAUUGAGAAUCGGAGUCCCGGAUACUCCAAUUUAAUGGCUCAAAGUUUGGGUAAAACGGUGACCGCCCGAUCGUAUGAUUGUGAGCGAUCCGACCGCUCGAUCUGGACCAAACUUGUAGGACGUGUUUAGUAAGCUUUGUUGAACCCGUAGGGAACUUUUGGAUAGGAAAUUGGAGGUCAUGGGCCCAACAGGCCCAGCUGACCAAAUUUGGGAAGUUUGACCACUUGGUUGACCGAGCGUCUUUCGAGGUUAUUUCACAUUUCAGAACAUGUAGUUGGACCUUAGAAACUUCCUGUUUGUUGUAUACACACCUUGAAUUCCGGGAAAAAUUAGGAAUUUAUUUUAAAGUUUCCAUCCAAAUUAUUUUAAUUAAUCUAGUCCUCGUAUUUUUCAAUAGGCACUUCGGCUCAGCGUACUCAAUAGGGUUAAGCAGCUCUAGAUUAUCUGUGAGUGGACUUUGUUUUUAAAUAAUAAUCAUUAUUUUCAAAGAGAAAAAGCUAUGCAUAAUGAGUUAUUCGAUUAUUGAGUUUAACAUAUUAUUUAUUUAAAUGUUUGAAUUUGCAUAUUGUGAUUAUCUUGAAUUAAUAUAUGCUAUGUUUGAGAGUUACUAUCUGACAGGACCCGAUCCAAAUUCCGCUUUGGAAUCCAAGCCGGACCCUGUGCGUGUCCGACACCUGGCGAAUGUCAGGCACAAAUGACCUAUUUGCCCUUCUAUACAAAACAUGAUAAAAUAACAAGGUUGACGUCUACCGAAAAACCGGCAGAGUUUCCCUUGUAACUGGCUCAAUACCAACAUAUUUACACCUGCCAAACAAGUAUAUAUAUACAUCCAACUGCCAGCAUACAUUUAUAUACAGUCCAACCGUUCAAUUCUCAAUCUAGGGCAAAACAUCAGAGCAACUACUAAGAAUUUACAAAGAAGUGAAUCUUUUUACAAAACAAAAAUCCUACAUCAAAGAAAAGGCGCGGAAGAUAGAAAACGGCCCGGUGGUGGAUCACUGUGCACGUCUUCUGCCUGGGGGAGCAAAACAUGGAAAAGGGUGAGUGGACCUAAAAACAAAGUUUAGAAAAUAGCAUAUGAACAUACUAACCCCACUGUAAAAACAGUUGUACAAACUAAAUUAUUCUCUUUAUUUCUGCAAUCAAUGCACGUAUAUAAUUAUACAUGUAAAUAAUCAUAUUCAUGGUCAACAUUACUUUUAAAAACAGUUUAAAACUACCACCUAGGUGUACCCUUUAUUUCCGUCAAUUCCUUAUAUCCGUCAAUUCCUUGCAUCACCAUAGGUGACACAUACUCGCAGGUCUCAGUGACACGAGGUCAGUCCGAGCCGCAACUCGCAUGAUUCAGGGGACCGUGGUCCACCUUUAUCCGCAUACUCGCUCCAUACGAGUUCGAUUACCAAGGAACUUGUGGGGCAACUGUCAAGCAUGCUGACUAAACCGAAGGCAACCAAUAUAAUCCGAAGGCAACAUUUAAUAUCUGGGUACAAGGUGGUUUAACAAAAUAUAAAGUUUCUGAAGCAAAGCUGUUGAAUAAUAAACUUUCUAUAACCUUUCAAAUUCUGCUGCCAUUUAUCUGACAAGUAACUAUAAUUUCUUUUCUUAUAUCCGUUAAAAGGUAUUCCACUCGGCAGCAUGUAAAAUAAAACAGCUUAUAAUUGAAACUGAACUGCUUAAAUUCAUUUAUUAAAACAUAGAGUCCAUUCACCGGUAGUCCGAGCUCGCUGGACCUCUUAAAGGUCCCUCCUAUGGGUCAACUGGUGCCCGGGUGCCUGAUUCAAUGACCAUAAUAUACUAUUAAUACAAUAUAGUGUUAAUAUAAAAACUCUGACCCCCAGCUCCUAAAAGUACAUGCGUACAAUUAAAGUUAUCUCUAUGCCCAUAAAAGCUUUCCUUCCAGUUUAGCAGUAUCUUGGGACUCAAAAAGCGUUAAAGUCCCAAAAAAUCAACCCGGGACCCCACGGGUCCAUGACCUCACAAUAUAAUUCGGAAGCCGCAAGAAGGUCCAAUAUAUCUAGGACACAUGUCCAGAGGGUAUUGGUCUCGAUCGGACGGUCAGAUUGAUCACGAUCGUGCAAUCGCAUAUUUUCCAAACCCAAGCUCUAGGGUUCGCGAUUCUCGGAGUCCCUAGGACUCCGAUUCACAAUCCGUCGAAUCCUACACGAUUCUAAAAUUGUCUAGAGUAACAUAUCUGAAACUGGUUACGAUCCAACGGCUCAACCGUAUUGAACCCGGAAAUCGCACAAUAUGGAAAAUCCGUUCGAGGCUCAAACGGUAUCAAAAUUGAGAUCCGUGAAUUCCUACGCGCUCGUGACAACCUAAGGAUCGCAUCAAGUCUCAGUACCACUGCACUACCCUCGCCCACACGCUGCCGCACGCGCCGGCAGCGCUGGGUGUCCAAAGCGAUUAUGCAUCGCCGGAAAAUCUCGAAACCACGGCUCCGAACUCCUACCAUAGGUAUAACACCAUAUUUGGAACCACUUUUGUUCUUGGACCUACCCCAAAAACUGACCGAAAGUGGCCGAACACGGAGGUCGAAAAUCAGCCAAAUUCCAAUUUGAAAACCGAGCUAUCUACGGUCAAAAUCGAUGCAAACCUACCCAACCAUCAGCUAGAGCAUGGAAAAUAGGUAGAAAUCCAUACCUUACUCGACAAAUUUGGAGAAGAAUUGAGGGAGAACGAGCGGUUGCAAAACUGUGAAAAACCAGCUCGAGUUUUACAGUUUCCGGCGGCUGAACGACGGUGGCUGGCAGCGGGCUGGGCGGGGCUUGAAGACGGAACCGAGCUGGUCCUUUUGGCACCGACGGCAGGGGCAGGGGUGGUCAGUGGCGAGAGUUCUGGCGAUUGGAAAGUGACGGGAAGGAGGACAGCGGGAGAGGGAGAGAGAGAGAGAGAGAGAGGAAAACUUUUCGUUAAAACUCCGAUUCGAGUCCACUUCAUGUCUGCGAACUCAUUUCGUCGUGCUCUACACAACGGUGUAUGUGGAAUUGUCAAAUUCCUUUUCGGUCAAAAAGUCAACUUUUCGUUAAGAAAUUAUUCCAAGGGCAAAAUUGUCUUUCCUCAUAAUAAAUUACUAAUUAAAUAUGAAUUUUAGGUUUGGGUUAUUACACUAUACUUGGAUGCGUGUUGGGUACAUGGGAUUGGUAGAAAGAGAUUAUGGAAUGGGAUUUGAGUUGUGGUUUAUAUUAAUUUUGAAGUGCUUUAGGCACUACCCUAUGUACCUUCCUGGUUUUGGAAUACAUGGAUUGGAUACUUGGAAACUUUUGGGAUACUUUGAUAUGUCGAAACCCAACCACCCUUGACAGGGUGUUUUGUAGACCCUUAGCAGGAUUAGUCUGCAAGCGUAGGACUUGUCACAGGCGUACAAGUAUUGAAGAUUCUGUUGUACAUGUUGGUGAGCCAGUCCCCCGGUUGGACAACUCAUUCCCUAGCCACAUGGUCAAUUGAGGAUUCUUCUAUAUGGUCUAGCCAAACAAUCCCCCGGUUAGAUUAUUUCCUCAGUACAAGUUUGGUAGUGGUCAUACUUAUGUAUAUAUAAAAAAUUUAUAUAUAUACACACAUAUACUUUCGUUCUUGUUUAUCAAUGAGGAUUCUUUCUUGCUUGUGGUGCCAACGGGCACGCGUUUUGGGUGAGAGUAGUUUGGGGAAAAUGGGUAAGGUUUUGAGUGGGAUGGGUAUUACUAUACCAUUAUGAGAUAUGGAUUUCACUUUGGUUUUGACUUAGCUAUAUAUAUAUAUAUAUAUAUCGAUUUUGAAUGCAUAUCCUUUUUAGAAUCGUUUUCCAAAUGGUGGGGGUUAGUAUGUUGUUUUUAACUAUGUAAAAACUUUAUUUUUGUCCACUCACAAAUUUUCUGUUUUGCUCCCACAAGGCAGUAGUUGAGCUGAGUCGAGCGACUAAGCCGAGUCUUGUACUUCCGAGCCCCAAGUUUCUGUAGGACAAUGUUUACUUGUUUUUAAUUCUAUUGAACUCGUUUCAUUGUAAACUGAAUUUCUUUUGAUAUGCUUGGUUAUCGCCCAUGCUAGGGUUGGAUGUAAGGUCAGAGGCCUAUUAUGUAAAUUGCAUGAUUUUUCAUUGUGCAUGCUGUUGUUGGGAUUUUAUUACUUUGUUUUUUACAAGUUAAAAAUUUGGGAAAGUUUGUUUUUCAAGAGAGACUCUACCGAAAUUUUGACAAAAUGUCUAGUUCCUCUUUUCCUUAAUUUGGAAAAGAAGCUAUAAUGUUAGUAAGUGGGCCCGGCAUCAGUUUGAUGUCCGAAAUACCACAGGAUUCGCCACGGAUUCCAAGAAAAUUCAGGGCGGGUCUUGUCAAUUGGUUCCAUAAAUACAAAUAUCCUGGUAGUAGAAAAUAAAUCCGGCGAUCUUACAAUAAAUAGUCGUGAUUUCUGUUUGUGCAAAUAAUCUCACGGGAGAAUAUUCUCUUCUAGAUUCUUCAACCUUCGAUCUUCCUUCUCCCUCUUCCUCGAUUCCUGUAAAAAAGACUAGAGUAAAUAGACCACACCCCCCGUGUUGGCCAAAGGCCCUCCAAUGCCUAAGUUCGUUCGAGUGUUUGUAGGAAAACAAUAGCUAAACAAAGGGUACGGAGUUGUAUGUAGGGUGUAAACCGGGUGACCGGAGCCAUGUGUGGUGGCCGGAGCCGUGUGGAGAAAAUAUGGAGAGUGGCGAGGGAGAGAGAGCUUCGGGUAUUUUUCUCGGGUAUAAGGAGUAGGUUUAGAUGUACCUUGAAUGAUGAAUGAGGUCGUCUAUUUAUAGGAGCCUUGGGGCUAGGGUUUCGUAGGGAUCGAGUCGGACCUGAUAAUAUCCGAAUUAAAUAUAUUAUCGCUUAAGAAGAUAAUAUCUAAAUUAAAUGAUAUUAUCUUCUCUUUAUUAGGAUAAUAUCUUAAUUAAUGAUAUUAUCUCUUUAAAUAAAGAUAAUAUCAUAUUAAUUAAGAUAUUUAUCCCAAUUAAUUAAUUAGCUAGAUAAACUGGUUUAAUUAAUUAAUUUAAGAGAUAAACUUCUUUUCCACGUGGCGUGCCUUGAUUGGAGACGAAAAUAUAUGCUCCCACAAUUUCCAACUAAAGUAAGUCUGACUUCACUUUCCAGCUUUCAUGGUCAUUAAAGUUAUUUGGAGCCGAGUUACCAACAGUGAGGAGUCAUUCUGACAUACCUUAACAUCUAAGAAAUUGUAAACUUUGGGCUAUACUAAUUCAAAUAAUUUUGACCCUUGGAUUAAAUCACCGUUGAUUAUCAAAAUAAUGUGAAUUUAUUUUAAUUUGAUCCCCCUUUGUUUGAAUAGUAUGGGCCAUUCACCACUUUUGGUAAAUAAAGCCCAAUACCUUUUUGAAAAGUGAACCCAAUGCUUAUUUCGGGAUGGUGCACAUAUUUCAGGCCCAAACAGUACCCCUAAGUCUGAAUAUCGUCUCUAAAAAACGAUUUCAUACUUAAUGAUUGGCCUGCCUUCUAUUGAUGUGCGCCCUUUUGAUCUAUUUGCUCCUGCCCACGUCUGUUCAUUGAUUGGACAUUUUGGAAAAGUGGGUAUUAACGAUUAGUUAAUUCUUGGCAACUCUUCUUCUCCCACUAUCUGUCUUCUUUAGAGUAUAAAGCUGCAACCUACUUUACUCUUUUAAAACCAUCAUUAACCCCGAGUUCUUCAAUUUGUAGAGUAUUUCCAAUCUUUGAAAUUUAAAAUUUCAAUGAAAAAUUCAAGCAUUUCCCUAAUUCUGCCUGAAUAUUCUCGAUGGCUUCUCCCAAAACCCGUGCUAGUAGUUCUUCCUCCUUCCCUCCACCUUAUAUUUCAGGCGAAGGUGUUGAUACACAUGCCAUUGAGAUUCGAAGCAAACUCCAUUCAUAUUCCAAGAAGAAUUUGAAUGAAAAUAUCCUACAUUUGAACGGGAAUGCUAUCAUUCUGGGUUCUGCCUAGUUUGGGAAAGUUUUUGAGGAAAUGGCCAAACUUUUUAAGGCAGAUGCUGAAGCUCUGUUUUGCUAUUGUAAUCCUUCUCUAAUAUUCCAUUCCUCGGUUAGCAAGAAUCUAAGCAGAUCAUACCAUUCUAAUGAAGUGAGGAAUAGCUCUAUGAAGUGGUCAUAAUAGUUUGGCCGACUCUCUCCAAGGUAUGAAGGCCAUUGGAAGAAAGCUAGCAUAUAUGAUGCUUUGCUUCUGUCUAAGCAUUCAAUUAAUAGAGAUGAGAAUCUCUUUGCUGCUUCUUUAUGUUUUUGGAAUUCUGCUACAAACACUUUUGACUUUCGUGUUAGCCCUAUGCCUCCAACUCUGCUCGAUAUGGCUCAAAUAUUUGGAUUUAGGCCACAUGAAAGGCCUGCUGAUGCAUUUGGAGAUUAUCACGGAAGGAAAAAUGGUGAAAGAGUAGCUAAAACGAAGCCUUGCCAUUCUUGCCAACGGAAUACCACUUUCCAACAAUUAUUGAGGCCAAUGGCCUUUAAUCUCCUGUUAAUUUAAUCGGAGUCUCCUCCAUGCUUCUCUGAUUUCUCUUUUUCAAAAUGUCGAUCAUUAUCCAAUAGAGCUAUCUGUUUGCCCCUGAAAGUGGAUUUUUCAAGCAAAAAUUGUGCCAUUGCCUAAACGUGUGGCAACUCAAUCCUGUUAAAAACACUGGAUUUUGGUAUGUCCUGUAAUUGUGCUUGCAUAAUCCUGCUGAUGAUAUUUGAUUCUUGCCCCUACUAUACUGGAUGGAUUUAUUUAGAUGGAUUGGAUAGCCUUGUUAAGGCACUAUCCUUCUUCUAUGGUUUAAUAUCUGCAUUUUUAUGGCUAUCUCUGGCUCAUUCACACCUUAUAUUUACAAUAAACAACAAUUCCAGACAUAACAGUUGCCUUUGAUCUAAUCAAAGUUUCCUUGAUAACCCUCCUAUUUUGACAGGGACCUAUCUCCACAGUUGCCUUUGACUGAGAGCCUUUUUGCAUAUCCAUGAGUUAAAAACGAAGAGCAAAUUUACUGGCCAUACUGGAUUGUGAGAAGUGGCUUUGGAGACACUCUUAAAGAGGUGCAGCCGACAGUGAGAGAGAGAAUGGACUCAAAGAGUAUACUGGUGAUGUAGCUGACAAUGAGUUGGUCUUGUUGGUACCACUGAGCACGGGCAGGAUUGGUUUGGGUAAGAGAGAUGGUGGUGAUUGUGGGUGUUACGGUGGUAGAAGUGGAGGUUUGAGCAGAAGGUUGUUUAUGAGUGCCUUCGAUAAAUUUUCAGAGGUCAUGACCGACUCAAAAGAGUUUGAGUUGGCAGAGCCAAAAGAGGUAGUUGGAGUCAGUAAGCUUGAUAAAAUAAGAACAGUUGGGGUUAGGGAAGGAGAUGGUGGAUUCAGACGAAGCCAUAAGGUGGACCUAAAGGAAACGAUUGGAUCGAAUAAGGGAGAGGGAGGAAACCCUAGGUAAGGCUGAUAUCAUGUAGAGAAUAUAUUUUCUUGUAUUAAACAGAAUACACAAAGUCCCUAUUUAUACUGAUACAGGAAAUCAACUUAGGAUAGGAAAUAAUAUAGACAUGAAUACAAUCCCAUUUACAGCAGGAAAAGCUAAUUGCUAGGAGGAGAUUGUGAAGUUGACUUCCGUGUGUACUAGGAAAGGGAAGCUGCGUUAACAUCUUUCUUUGGCCAAUUUAGAUUUACCAUAUUGACUUGAGUUUUGGGAAAAAGGAUUGUAUCAAUAGUGGGGACCUUCUUUGCUAUUUUCAACUUUCUUGAGGCUAAUGCUUCUUAGACAACAUCCCUUAAAACAACACAGCUAUUGGUAGUGUGAUUCAAAGAAUUAUGCCACUUGCAAUACUGUCUUCCCUUCAAUUCUUCUGACUUUGGCAACCUGUGUCUAGGUGGUGUAUCUAUAGCCUUCUGAGAUAACAUUUCAUCAAACAAACCGUCUAACUUUGAUAAAUCAAAAGAAUAAACCUUGUUUGUUGGCUGUUUGUUUGGAAUGAAACCUCCAGUGAAGGGUGGUGGUUUUUGAUCCUUUGGUGCCUUUAGCAAAACUUUACAACUUAUUGUCCCUUUAUUUUAGCCAUUUUUUCCACCACUGCCAUAGUUUCCUCUGGUUCUAGCUCCUUUUCUUAUUCUACCUGCACCAAAUGUAUUGAAGAUGAAGGGGUCUUGUAGUAUGUACAUUUAGAAGCAUUCCUCUUCUGUUGUUAUUCCUUCAAUAAUUCUUCAUAUUUGGUGACCUUAUCCGCCAGUUCUGCUAAGUCUCCAAAUAUUAUUCCAUUGAACCUUUUUCUCAAGGAGAUCCUCAAUGAUGUUUGUCCCAUCUGGAUAAAGUGCCUCUCAUAUAUAGGAAUUCUAAACUUCAUUUUCAGCUUUCUGAACCUAGUAAUAAAGUCAUGAGCUGCCUCAUUCUCACUCAGCUUCAGUACAGUCCUCAGGCUAGAUUCUGUACUAGUAAUCAUGGAAAGCAGUGCUUAGCCUUUUUGCAUAAUACAGUGGAUUAGGACAAGAAAAAUAGGAUUCCUAUGGAAGAACUUCUUUUUUUGGGGGGGGGGGGUUGUAUUCCAUUAGGAUUCUAGAGAGUUUAAAAAGAUUUUGUUUAAGUGCCUGCUUUCAUAGAACUUUAUGGAACUUUAUAAUUCGUAUAGAACUUGAUAGACUUUCAGAAGACUUCUGUAUAUUUUUUUAAUAAACUUUCUUAAGUUUUCAUAGAACUUGAUAGGCUUUUAUUCUAGACUUAUGUAGACAGUAUAUUUCAGUUUAUCCCCAUCCUUGUCAUUUAAAGAAAGAAACUUGAAUUUUUUCAAUCAAAUUUGUUUUUGUUAUCCAAAGCAAAAACAAAAAGUACUUGUUUGCUCUUCCCUUUUCUAUUUACUUGUUGUGUAUUUUCAGACUCCAUUUGAGUGCAGCUAUGAAUUUUAUCAUGUCAAUCAUAAAAUACAGCAUAAAAAAUAUCAAAAAAUGUACAUCAUCAACCAUAGAUUAAACAUGACACAUCUUAUGUUGAAUGGAAAAGGACGCAGUAGGAAUUUACAGAUUUGGGGUCCGAACUCUGAUUGGCGUGUAUGAUACCUUUCUGAAAAGGAAACAAUGCUACGAGUCAAACACACUGCUUUGCUAUGACGUAUGGUGGAUUUUGGGCUUUUGAGGUCGUUUAGGCUUCCAAAACAGCAUUUAAAAGUUGAAAUUUUUGGAUUUUCGUUUUUUUAAUGUUCAUUUAUAUUUAUCUCAGUAUUUUUGUUCGAUUAUAGAAAGGUUGUCAAUUAUUUCAAUUUUCUAUCUAGUCGUAUAUAGAUAUUUCAAAAGAAAAAGUAGUAACAAGCAUAAACCGUAGUAAACAAGCAUAAACCCUAGUAACAAGUAUAAACCUAAUAACAAGAAAAACACGAUGAAGAAAAAAUCAUGGAAAAAGAAAACCCAACAAGGUAUGGAUCAAAGAAAAAAUAGGGAGCAUACCUUCACAGAUGAAGGAAGGAAGAUGUUCAUCUUCGCAGAUAGAAAAGCCAAGAGAAAAACGUAUGAUGAAAUACUUGGGAGGGAGGUUGGAUUAUUUUGGUCUUUGUUAUUUAUAACUCUCCCCUUAAAACCUAUGAAAAUUUAUCACUUAAUGAAAUCCUUCCAAAUAUAUCACCUUUUUUAUAAUCCUAAUUGAAUACACCCAUAUUUGAAUAGACAUUUUAAAAGUUCAUAUAAGUCCGAAUUGAAUACACCCAGACUUGUAAAACCUCUUUUAAAAUUUUGUAUAAAUCCAAAUUGAAUACACUCGGAUUUUUAAAAUCUUUUUAAACGCUUUAUAAUCCUAAUUGAAAACACUCUAUUGGGAUUGUCAUUGCAGCUGCCAUUGGAUUCUAUCAAGCCUAAAUACAUGAUUAAAUAAACUUACAAAAUUUAGAGAAUCUUUCUAUCUUUGCGUGUCUAUUGAGACCGGUUAAGUGUGAACUACUAGGGACUGAAACAUAUUUGUACUUUUUAUCCUCUAAUUGAUCUUUUCCAUGUUUAAUGUUCUCACUUAGAAUUGAAUUUAGAUGGAUAACCUUUAUUUGGAUAAUAUCCAACCCAUACAAGUGAGACAUUUAGUAUAAAAGUUCCAAUAUUUGAAAUUUCCAAGCAAUCUUGUCCAAUUACUUCUGAUAUAAGCCGUCUUUAACAUUAUAUUGGGCAGAAAAUCAGAAUAUUUGGCCAUCUUCAACUUUGUGAGAUGUUCAAAUUUGGUCUACUUCCAGAUUCUAUUUUUGUAUGAAGCAACAAGCUACAAUUAGAUAAUAACUUACUGAAAAAUGAGACAAUAAAGUGGAUGAGGAAUCAAAAUAUAUCAUUACAUUUUCUCAUGUUUCCUGGAGAAUAAAACAUUUAGAAUUGUACAUGGCUUAAAAGACAAAUCUUCUUGUCAUCCAGUUCAAAAUUGGAGUUAUGAUUUUGGGCUCAAUAGUCUUCGAAUCGAGAGUUCAUGAUAUCGUCAUUCGACUGCUUCACAAAUUUUGUAUCUUCGUGCUCAGCUCACAAGCACUUUGACCAUCAAAGAAGGCUUCCCAGAUUCAUAAGCAACAGAAAAAUGUGCAUAUGAUCAAUCACAGCCUCUACUUCAUCUUGACACGGCGAGUUCUUCUGAUCGAACUGAGUGCUGAUUUGGAUAUGAACCAGAUUCACUUCAUUUGCGUUCAUUCAUACACUUAAGCUGGAAGUGAGAUGAAUGAAGGUUUCAUCACUGCAGGGGAUUGUGAUACCACCCAUUGGAUGAUCAUAUCCAAAUUCUUCUUCUGCUUGACUUAGCAAAUCCAAGAACAAAGGCUCAUUCAAGUAUGAUAUUGGAACCACAAAUCGCUUCUUCUGGCUCCCCCCAACAUACACUGCAAAGUAGCCUUUUGGGAUGUCUACGGUGUUUGAAGUAGCAGCCUUGUUUAGACCCUUCUUGGAGUUAACAAUUCCUGGCAAUCGGAAUCCCAUGGUUUUUAUAUUCUCAAGUGGAAAAUUUGAACAAGAAAGAAUUCAGAGGACUUGGGAAACAGAGAAGACUUUGAUGCUUGGCAAGGAGAGAGACUUGAGUUGUUGGUUAUGAACCUGAUCUCUUGUGUAUAUAUAGAUGAAAGAGUAUCGCCUUCUACAUGAAAUGAGUGGUCUCGAGGCGCAGAGAUUUGCCCCAGUGAAGGAUAAUAGCUUGUGAGAAAUCAAAACAUAACAUGGGUUGUCUUCCCACUCGCAUAAAUCAUCUCCACAUGCAAUGACAAAACUGUAUCCCUCUGUACAAACAUCAUUCCCCACGUCUUAUUUCAUCGAGUAAUUUGUUGUGGUCUAAAGAUUGCUAAUGUGUUCCUGUCAAGAGACUAUGGACAGAUAUGUCUUAACCCUGUUUUGUACUUCAAAGAAGUCUUUUCUAUCCGCAUAUAAAGAGUUUGUAGGUGUCACAAAAAAAAUUGUUGGGCAUCAUGUUCUCCAACAAACAUACAGACUUAAUAACUACCAAGUUCUUGAGAAUGAGAUGGAAAACAGACCAUGUGAUCCCUCAAAUUCUCAUGCCUCUUUCCAAUCCCCACCCAAUUGUCCCCAUUUCAGAUAUUUUCCUCUACACACCCUUUCAUCUAUACGUAGACACACACAUACACACAGAUGAUCCCAUAAACAAUUGAAAUCCUGAGUCUUUACAAACAUGAAAUCUAAUGAGACGUGAUCCUAAAAUGAUUUAGUUUCCUGUUUUAUUUGUAUUUAUUUCAUAGAUUUGCUGUAUAUAUUCCUUAUCUCUCAAGGACUUGAUUCUUGCCUAGAAUAGGAAAUCCUUUGUGUAGACACCAAGCAAAGCAUUGUAUAUAAUUAUCACAUGAUUGUUCAAUGAAAAUCAUCGAGAAUAUUCAAAACCUUUCAUGGUAUCAAGAGCCUGAGACUCACAGUCCUCGAUCCUCAAUUUUCUUGUUCCCUGUCUUUUUUUUUUUUUUGUUGGCACCAUGGCUUCUUCCUCGUCUAUUGAUUUUCCUAGCGUUCAUCAUGUUAUCUCCAUUCGUCUCAAGUGUGAUAAUUAUCUGACGUGGCUUGCUCAAAUUGUUCCUAUCCUUCGCAUCUACCGCUUGCUCAGCUUUGUUGACGGCACUUCUCUGUGUCCUCCGACCAUUCCUGACCCAAAUGCUAAGGCCGAUGAAUCUACUUUUCUGUCUCUCCUCCCCAACCCAGAGUAUGAUGAUUGGGUCCAGAAAUAUCAGCUUGUUUUCUCUCUCUCAUCAACGGUUCCUUUCACCAUGAAGUUCUCACCACCGUAGCUUCCAAGACCAUCGCUGUGACACUUGGGUAGCCCUUGAAACUCAUUUUGCUUCUCCGAAUCAGAAUCGUCUUCUUCAACUUCACAGUAACUUGCUUUGCACAACCUGUUGUGAAUCUUCCAUCACUGAUUUCCUUGAUCGUAUUAACUCGAUUGACGAUAACUUGGCUCUGGCAGGUGCUUUAGUUGCUGACUCUGAUCUCCUUGUGAUGGUUAUGAACAACGUUUGUCCUCUUUAUGAAAAUACCAUUGCCGCUACUCAAGCUCGUGAGAAACCCAUCAAUAUGCCUGAUCUUGAUGCUCUCCUCUUGUCUGCUGAACGUGGCCUGUAGUUAUCUUAUUCUCUGGUCAUGUAUUCUGGUGCGACAGCUAUGGAAGCUUCCCAUGGUGGUCUCGGUGGCUGUGAUUUUGGCGAUUGUGCUGGGUUUGCUGGUCAUAGUCCCGAUCUUCCCAACUCAUUCUCUCCCUCACGACUAGGUUUUACUUCUGGUCGCGGUUUCCCUGGCGCUUCCUAUGGCGCCUCUAGUCCUGCCUCACAUCAACAACAUUUUGGUAGCAAUAUCGAGCUGAGUGUUCUUGGCCCACCUCCUUCUGGCUCUACUGCUUCCUCUUUUGGGCUUCAUUCUGCCCCUAGGCCUCUUCAAUGUUUCAAUUGUCAUGGUUUUGGCCACAUCGCAGCUGUCUGUCCUUCCAAGACGUUUUCUGUGCCUUCUCCUCUGUCUCGUCUUCAAGACAUAACUGCUCAAUAUCCUUCACAUGGUGGCCAUCAACAGUGGGUUGAUGAUACCGAUGCAAACACUCAUAUUACCAAUGACCUGAGCUUCUUAUCCCUUGCUAAACAGUAUCAUGGUUCUGACAAUGUUGGAGGUGUGCUUGGUGGAACAGGUUCGCCUAUUAAAAAUAUUGGUCACUCUCGUUUCUCUCACCUUAAUUCUUCUUUUCAUCUUAAUGAUAUUGUUCAUUGUCUCGAUGCAUCUCUUCCUCUCUUACCUAUUCAUAAAUUUCCCACUAACAACCAUUGUUUCUUCACUUUUUUUCCUAAUUGUUAUUUUAUCCAGGAUUUGGGGACGAGGAGGACACUUUCUUGGGCAAGAGUAGUAAUGGCCUAUAUCCCUUUUCAUUUACACCGAAUGAGUUUUUUCAAGUUUUGCGUGAUCGUGUUGCUUUACUAGGUGUCUAUGUUGACCGCUCUGUGUGGCACUCUCGCCUUGGUCAUCCUGCUUCGUCUACUUUGCAAUUUUUGUUAUCUCAUAAUAAAUUGCCAUCUUCUGGCUCUGUCUAGUUCUUUUUGUCAGUCAUGUACGUUGGGUAAAAGUGUUAAAUUACCCUUUAGUCCUUUUUAUGUCCUUUCUUCUCCACUGAAACUUAUUCACUCUGAUGUAUGGAGUUCUUCAAAUAAAUCUAUUUCUUAUUUUAAUUAUUAUGUUUUAUAUGUUGAUGAUUUUUGUCGUUAUUCUUGAAUUUUUCCAAUGAAAUUGAAAUCAUAAGUUUUCUCUCACUUCAUUAAAUUUAAGGCUUUGGUUGAAAAUAUGUUUUUCACUACGAUUAAGGCAUUUCAAUCAGAUGGGGGUGGGGAAUACACUAGUCAUCAAUUUAAGAAUUUUUUAUCUCAUCAUGGCAUUCAUCAUCGUCUUUCUUGUCCACAUCAUCCUGAGUAAAAUGGUUUAGCCGAACGUAAGCAUCGUCACAUUGUUGACACCGGGCUCACUCUUUUAGCCAAUGCCUUUAUGCCUCCUUCCUAUUGGGCUGAGGCCAAGCACACCACUGUUUAUUUAAUUUACCGUCUUUCUUCUAAGUUGCUUCAGUAUAAAUCACCCUAUGAAUUAUUGUUUCACAAAGAACAUAAUUAUUCGUUUUUAAAACCUUUUGGGUGUGCAUGUUUUCCUUAUUUACGGCCAUAUAAUAAUAAUAAAUUACAAUUUCGGUCUUCCAAAUGUGUGUUACUUGGUUAUUCUUUGAACCCUCAAGGUUAUCGAUGCUUGGAUCUUGUUUCUAAUCAUGUUUUUUUAUCGCGUCAUGUGUUAUUUGAUGAAGUUUCUUUUCUGUUUAACAAGGCACAUGCUGCUACUACUCCAGACCAUUCUCCGUCAUCAGACCUGCCUGUCAUCCUCUCUGGCCCAAGUUUAUCUUCAUGCAGCCCAUGCCUUCCAGUGUCGUAUUCUCUGCCUAGUCUCCCUUCUUUGGUGCCAAAAUUAGGAAGCGGAGAGUGAGAACUCACACACACGGGUACCAUGGGAGCUUGAACCCAAGACCUCUUGAGAGCACACCAAAAGCCUAGGAAAAUCCACCUAACACCCCAUUAGUCGACAGUAAAUAGUUCAAUUGCAUAAAAAGAAAACAAGAAGACUUAAUGGAUAUGAAAAAUAGUUUUUCCAACAUAUUUCUUCCCUCGUAUAAGUACAUUAAAAAUUGAACAAAUGAGAUUCCAAAUUGGUUGUCGUCAUCUUUUAGAUCCUUUUUCUAUCUCUUCAACCGUUGGGAGGGUUUUUUUAUUUAAAUUAUUUUUUUGUCAAAAAUGAUUGCUAAUUAAUUACAGUUUUACUUUUUCUUUUUUGCUUUUGUAAUGAAUAAAGAGUACAAAUGAAACAUCGUCAAAAUUGCUUGACAAAGUGGGCUGUCGUUUAAAAAAAAUGUAGAUUACAAGUUUAAUGGACAAGCAAUUUGUGAUCUAUAAAGAUGUUGCUUCCUAUUGCUUUCACCAUUAUUUCCACCAAAGUAAAAUUUAUAGCUGAAAGUUAGAUCAGUUUCGUACACAUAGUAGAUCCAAAAUGUUACUACCAAAAAGGCUUCAGUUUUAACUUGCUACACUUUGCCUACCACUGGAAAUAUCCAAUUCGGAGUGCAUGAGGGUAAAAUUGAGUGUCAUUAUUGGUAGUGAAAUACUUUGUGAUUAGGAAAUAUAUCUUGACAAUUUGAUUAUAACAAAUGAAUAGAAAAAAAAUUAGAAAUACCUGCAUAUAUAGUUAUGGAACAGUUAGAGAUUGAAAUUUCAACCGGCCAGCAAGAAAGGAAAAGGGAGAGAAUCCCAAAAACAAUAGAAAUGUGUGGCAUGGGAGGAGCCCCUAUUAUGUCACCUCCUUAGUUUUCAAUUAAGAAAACGUAGUGAAAAUAUGAGAAUCCUUCCCAGCCACACAUCUCCAUUGGCCUCUGGGAGGCCUAUCUCCCAUUUCAAGUCAGCCAAUUCUAAGAGUGUAUUAUGCUCUCAAGAUUUAGAGCCCAUUAUUUAUAGGGAAGCCAAGGGUACAUAAGUUCAAAAAAUAACCUAUAGUGCCCAUGGUUUCCAUAUGGUGAGGAAUCUAUGCGCCAUCGUAGUUGUUUCACCACAUGUUUUGACAAUUUUCGUGAGGAAGCGAAAAGGAAAAUUGGGUUGGUAUUCUUGCAUGCUUCCCACACGUCGUAAAAUAAAUUCUUGAUAUACCUAUUAAACCAUUUCUUUUAUCAGUUCACGUGAUGAACACGAUGAGAGAGAUAAAGAGAAACCGGCCGGUUACAUCUGACACCUAUGAACAGAAAAGAAUCCAAAACCGUGAUAGGUUGGUGAAGGGAAGUGAUGUUUUUGGUUUUCCAAAAUUGGAUUUUGGAUUUUGGGGAUAUUAGUACCAGUUUUUGAGCCACUAAAUAAUUCGAUUGCAUAAUCAAACUUAAAACAAAAGUUACAGGUAUGUUAGAUAUGAAAUAUAAUUCAAUUGCCUUCUACUUGAUUAUGAUCUUCCUCGCUGGACUAUGAAUGCUAUUGGGCUUCUAAUUUGUUGCUCCAAAAACCCAUUUACCGCAACGGGCCAUUCAUCGGGCCUCCAUAAAUUCAGGUCCAAUCAACAUUUAUAUGGAGAUGAAUGCUAGAUUGGAAAAUCCAUGAAAUCUGCAGUAUGUGGUGGUGUAGAGGCUAUAUGCUGUGGUGGGGAUGAAUGGGGAGACAUAUGCAUAUGAAGGAUCACAUGGUUCUGUCUUCCACAUCAUCAAGAAUUUGGCAAUGAUUGAGACUUCAUAUCUGUUGGAUUGUGUUUUAGUUUUAAAUCUGAAGUCCUUGCUAGGACAGGAAGCUAGACAAGUUGCUGACUCUAAUAUAUCUUUAUAACGGUAUGUAAAUAUUUUUGUAGUUUGUCAAAAAUAAAAAAAUCUUGUCAUGCACCUAUCAAUAAUACAUUGAGGUUUUUUUUCCCUCAGAUAAUUUGUUUUUCUAAGGGUUUUCAAAAAUCUAGUUUAUGCAAGCUGGAAUUAUGCAAAUAGACUUUGGCAAGAGAAAAUUAAUGUCAUAGCAUAUUGUCAUGAAACAAAUAUUUGUGUCAGGAGUUGAUUUGCAAGAAUGUGUUUCAUCAAAAUUUGAUAACUUAGGAUCAAUCAAGCAUUAAAAAUGCCACUGAAAUGGGCAUGAUAUUUCCCCAAUCUGUAUGAGGAACCAUGUAAAAAGUUAUAUGGUCAGCAUUUUAGUCAAAUUCUUGUGCAAAUCUGCUACCACUUGUGGGAUUAACUAUAUAACAAGGGCUACAAGAAGAUAAUACUAUAAUGCAAACCAUAAGACAAGAAAGGAUGAGGAUUUCAAAUAGAUUGUAUAUUGCUCCUGGAGAACAACAAAGAAGUUUACAUAGGUUCAAAAGACAGAAUUUGACUGCCUUUGGGUGGGGGAUGAUAUUUGGACCAAUGGUUCUAGGGAGUUCAUAAUAUCAUCACUUGUCUGCUUCAUAAAAGCUCAGCCUAGAAGCAGCUUCAGCAUUUGAGAAGGUUUGCUUUCACCAUAAGAUGUGAGUUGAUUCCAUGGAUGAGCAGUGGUAGCCUCUUCUUCAUCCCAACUCAGCGAGUUCUGAAAUGUGGAUGCUUUGGAUAUGAUCAUAUCCAAAUUCUUUCAUCUUGGCUCAGUGAGCUCUGAAAUGAGGAUGGUUUGGAUAGAUUGGAUGACCGAUUCGUGUACACUCACACACUUAAGCGGGAAGUGAGAUCAAGGAAGGUGUUUUCACUGCAGGGGAUUGUGAUACCUCCCAUGGGAUGAUCAUAUCCGAAUUCUUCUUCAGCUUGACUCAGCAAAUCCAGGAAUAAAGGCUCAUUCAAAUAUGAUAUCGGAAUCACAAACCGCUUCUUCUGGCUCUCCCCAACAUAGACUGCAAAGUAGCCUUUUGGGAAAUCUAAAG
rnacentral:lncRNA from 1 species